AUUCUUUUUCUCUCUCUUUCUUUCUCUCUCUCUCUCUUUUUCUCGACGAAGAGGGGCAAGUUGUCGUGCUUGCGGCAUUUCGAGAUUCGGAUACGAUUGAAAAUUUGUAUUUGGAUGAACGAGAGGUGAAGGAUAUCUUUCUAAAUUUGUAAACUGCGUUAAUCGGGGUUUUGAAUCGUAAUUCUCUCUCUCGAUCUUUUUUAUCGAACGAAUGAAAAUUAUCGAUAUUAAUAUCCUAUUAUCAAGUACACCGAGCGGAUAAAAGUUUUAUUAUGCAUUUUAAACAACGUAUUAACAAUCUUACUACAACUGUUAGAAUAUUAGAUUUAUAAUUAUAAACAAGUAAUAUGUGUAUAUAUAUAUUUACAUACAUAAAUACGAUUGAUAAGAAUCCGAAUGAAAUGAAAAGGGCAAAACGAAUAACAAGAAAAAAAAAGAAGAAGAAGACGAAGAGGAAGGAAAAAGAAAGAAGCAGAGGAGGAGAAGAUCCUCGGUUGGAAAAAUAAUUUACAAACGUUUCGCGUGCGUGGUUGAUAGGUGAACGAUAAGGAUCAGCCGGGAGGCAUUAUUAUUCAACGGCUCUCAGUGUGUAUUAUCCUUAUAAAAGUAGCUAGGAAACGUUAAUGGGUUGAUCCUCGGAUAUAUUGGCCGCGAGAUGAACAGAUACACCGUGUAUUCUCACACAGUGGAUACAAUUAAAGUCUCUGUUAGAGCGUGGCCGUUACACGUUUCUUAGCGGAGUUGCUCACAUUAUCCCUCUUUCUGAUGUAAUUUGUGUGGUAAUCAUCGCUAUUAUUAACCAAUAACCAGUGUAAUUAGGCAGGAUGGUUGGCUGUGCUCGGAUGGCAAGAGACAAAUGGACGCCCGUUACGUCGCUUUAUGCUCCCUCCGUGCCACGGCAACACGUGACGAAUGGCGUACAUAUAUUCAUUAUCGUCGUUCCUCGUCAAAAGGCCGCGAUAGCCUUUUCGCGAACAGGAUUUCGAUGGAUAAACAGAUUUUUUUUCUUCCUCUUCUCUCCUUUUCCUUCGCUCGCUCGCUCGCUCUCCCUCUCUCGAGGCGAGUUCAAUCGAUAGGAAUUUCAAUUCGACUCGUUUCCGAGUCUGGGACUCGGGAAGAUUUAUCUUCUGACGGGCGGUAUCCAUGUGCGAUCGCGAUCGCACGUGAAAAUUGUCAGAUAUGGAAAUUGAUUUCGAUUAGAAUAAAACGUUUUAUGUUUCUCGUACGUCUAACAUUUAUAUUACAGCAGUUUCUUUGAAUAGGAACGAUUUGAAUAAGAAAGGAUAAUUGAUUUGACGCGUUAAACAUCUUGGCUUUUGAAACGAGAAUCUAUCUAACGUGCGAUCCCCAACUUAUAAAUUAACAAAUUCAAACGAAUUAAAAUGUACAAGAAUACGAAAUAUCGAGAAUCGAGCUGAAAAAGUAUUUAAGCAAUACAAUGUUAUUUUUACAUCGAUAUUAAUGUUUCUCUAGAUCGUUUCUCAAUUUUUACGAAUGGUUGCAUCGACUUUCGUCCCAAAUAUCACAAAAAUAUGGAGCAUUGCCGCGGGUGUACGACCGACUUCACAAUUUCGAUUUUAAACCGCGAAGCACUCAGCCUCGACUGCUUCUCCGAAAUUACCCCAUAAACGGGAUCGUUAGAAGCACAAUAGGUCCGAGAGCAAACUACUGGUUCGACUUCUCGACCAGUUGAACGUCGAGAGGCAGGUCCCUCUCGCCAGGUAGACCCCUCGAGGGUCCAGGUAUCUGGAAAACACAAACGUUCCUGAACACACACACCGUGCAACCGAACCGUGGAAACUUUGUGGAGACCUUGUUGAACCUGGCGAUACAGGUGCGCGGGGAAAAAAGCACUCGAAAUCCCGUAAUCCGAGAGAAUACCAUUCCGUCUCUCUCCUCUUUUUUUUUUUCCAUCUUCCUGAGCGGCCACAAAAAAUGCCGCGAGGCGUGACCGAUCCUUUCAGCAGGUUGAUUUUUCGAAUUAAGGGCUGAUUAGGGAUACAGCUCUUGUAAGAAAAAAAAAAAAGCUAGCGAUCUGGUCUGGGAACGAUGGGAUGGAAUGGGAUCACGCGUUCACGACUUGUAACUUUUCACUCGAAAUUUUGUAUUAUCUUUAUCUCGAGUUUUUUUUUUACUGAGAUAAAAAUAUUAUUAAAAUUCUGGGUUAAAAUAAUUUCGAAAUAACCUACGAUUCCUUUAUUCUUCCUUUUUUCUUUCGUGAAUGAAUUCGUAUGCGAUCGAUUCUUUCGUACGCGGGAUCAACUUUGCAUAAUUCGACGAAUACAAAAAUCGUGUCGACUAUAUUUUACAGUAAAUAAAAUAAAUAAAAAGCGUCGAAAAAUACUUCCGCGGCUAUAUUACUUGGCAAUUUACAUUUCGCGAUUACUAACCUCUUCGCUGUAUGGCAGCAGAUGCAACGAUCGAGGGAGGGAGAGAAAGAAAAAGACCCGUGUCAUAACUAUGUUACAAGAGAUAGCCGGGAAAUAUUCAUGCCUUGGAUUAUUUAUCGCUUCGAAGGACCGUAAACAAUGUUCCGGUUGUUCAAUAAUAUACACGAAACGGAUACGUAGCGUCCUCCUACGCGGAACACACGCAACGUUACGUGUAAUUAGGAAAAUUAAUCUUUCAAGAAUGGAGUACAAAUUAUUCCGUCGCAUUCUUUUAAUAAUAUCGUUGGGAAAAAUAUUCUCCAAAUUUUCUUUCAGUUUCAUCGUACAAUUUAACUUUGGAUUCCUGAAAAAAUUAAUCCUCCAUACUUGAACAACUUUCUGCCGAUACUUGAAGCAACCAAGAAAAAAAUCAAUCCAGAUCAAAAGACGUGUCCGACAGGAAGCAUGAAAUCCCUCCUUUUCGAACCAAUUCCGCCAAAUCCGAAACCGAUCGCAGCAAUCUUGCUCCAACGGGAUCGAAGAAAUUAAUCCGCGUUAAGAGGGAAGGAAGGAAGGAUGACUCGGAUGAAACGAAGCGAUCGUUUCGAUUUCGACUUUUAGCUCACGGUGACGCAGCGAGUGUCGGCCGGUCAGCGUCGUUUCGUUUAAACGAAAUCAAUUAAGGCCGGCGACAGGGCUGCCGGCGUAAUCCGUCGGCUGUUACACAGCCGAUUCCACGCGACGUCGGCCACGGCGGGGUGUCCAGUGUCCAAUAGGCUCGCAGGUAUUGCGAAACGCCGUGGGCAUCCAAUCAUGUCGGCGGAUCGUACCUUUAAGCCCGUCAUUACGUCGAAUUAGUCUUCCGGGCUUUCGUCGUGGACCCGUAAUCCGUAUGCCGCGUGUUGCAUCGAAUGGCAACGUCAUCGUUCGAUAUUAUUAUAUGCAGUGUUCGGGGACGCGUUUAAAAUCUGUCAGACGACGAAACACGGCGAUUUUGAUUAAACGCGUUGAUUCCGCGCCGUGUUUGCGAUGGAAUAGAUUGAUGUUUGACGAACUGUUCGAGGUACAGAGGUGCAUUGCUUUUGAUCAUUUCAUCGUUGGUGAUUAAUAAUUUAACAGUUUUAUUGCGACACUUUGUUAUGGUAUUUGAACAUCGCCGUGUUGAUCGGUUUUAUAGAAAGAAUCGUCCUCUAUCGGUUUGAAUCGCAAUUUUCGCGUAUGCAUUUGAUAAUGUGUUUUCUUUUUUAAAUUUCGUAGAAAAAAAUGUUAACGUUUUAAAAUAAAAGGAAUUUUAAUUAUUAAAUAAUUGAAUCGUAAAGCAAUCACCGAAUGAUUUGCAUGAAAUUUAAUCUCGAUCGAUUGAAUACAAAAACGUAUUAUUGAUGAAUACUUGUUAUUUCCUUUUAUCUAUUCGCAUUUAAUAUGCAAUGACACGUGUUCUCGAUUAAAUCCUUGUUUCUCGCUUUGUCAACGCUCCUCUGUAAAUGUUGCAAGAACGAAAGAGACGAUCCACUCCUAGAUCGCCUACGUUGCGAGCAUAAUUACAAUUCAAGAACGUCAGCAGGGCAGAGCAAGCAAGCGCGCAACGAGCAGUUCUCUGAAACGGUAAAUUGCUACUAAUUUCACGCUCGAAAACGAGGAGUGUUUGCAAGAAAAAAGAAAAAGACACCUCGUUACGUGGUAACCGAGCAGACUGACGAAUGCACCAGUUGAUCAAGAUGCGAAUACCUCUAAAUCUCUUCAGCUGUAUAUAUUUUCGAUCGUUAUUCAAUCAACACGAGGAAAUCGAAUGUGUAUUACAAAUUUAUUUUAUUCGAUCAUUGAUAUAAUAAUUAUCCAUAAAAACUUGCCUCACGUAUUUCAUUGAAAAUUCACUCUUAUAAUGACUCUCGUUUAUAAUUAUACUAUUACUAACAUCUGCUAAAAAGAACAAUUCGUAAUAACGUUAAAUUAUUUUUUUCUUUCAGUACAAAAAAGAAAAAAACAAAUUCUUCUAAUCGAACUUUUUCUCGAACGAACGAAAAGAAAAGAAAAGAAAGAAAAAAAAGGUGGAAAAAUUCCGCGACAUGCAAGAUGAAUCGUCAAUUCCCACGUUUCAAAGGGAGCACGCGCAAGAAAAUGCUGACUCGAAACUCGUGUGUCACUCGACCGACUCCUUUGUCGGCCGAUUCGUUAAUCGUGGCGCGGUGGCAUUCCUCCGGACUAACCGGAAACGCGUCGCCCUGGCCCCUUUUCCCUUUUUCUUCCAACAGAGACAAAAAGAAAGAAGGAAAGAAAGAAAGGAAUAAAAAAAAAAAAAAAGGAAAAGAGAGAUAACCGGUAAUAGCCGGCUUGGUCCCACACGCAUAAUUAUCGCCGACAAACCAACAGAUCCUUAUCGAGUCCAGCGUCAUAAUUAUCACCGUGCCGGUGGUCGCUUACGCGUUACACGGCCACGCACAUACCGCGCAUUGUUUCGCUCGAAUUCCGAGCGGCACCGACAGAUGCGCGUAACUCGUGAACUCGGGCCCUAGAGUAAGAGGGAGAGUGGGUUGGUUGGAGCAGCUAUCGUUGCACGCUGUCACGCGAUCGAAAUCGAUACCACGGGGGACAAAAAUCGCGCGCGGCAUUUCGGUCCAGAGAGAUAAAUGGCGACGGCCGCGCGGUCUGACCAUAAUCGUCUUAAUCUACUUGACGCGCUCGUUCAACGCAUGACUGCUUGAAUUUCUUUCGACUUUUUAUCGCUUUUUCCUUCCUUCCUUUCUUUCUUUCUUUCUUUCUUUUUUUUUUUUUUUUUUGAUGUAAAUAGUUUCACUAUCGAUACGUGGUUGCGAAUCGUUGCUACUGCAUUCCGAUAGAUCGAUAAGACCGAUGGGAAUAGGGAAAUGUGAUUGAUUAAAUGGAAUGGGGAAUUAGUUGGGAAUUAAUCGAGAGUCGGGAAUAUUGGGUGUAUAAGUGAUUGGUUGAUAAACUGGUUGUUGAUAAAUUUAAUGGUCUGAUGUUUGUUGGAUACGAAGAGGUAAUUUUUCGAAAUAUCUUUGAUAAGAAAAAUGAUCUGAUGGAAAAUUUGAAGACUAACAUCAAAAAUGAAUGGAAUAUGACGUAUAUAGUCACAUUAGAAAUUUAUUUUCAUUGAAGUAAGACUUUAGAUUGUGGAGAGUUAAUAAUUGACAUGAACUGUUUAAAAAUUUUCGUGUAAGUAAUUUUUAAGUAUUUUUUUUACUAUAAAUAUUUUCAUUGUUUAAAAUAGUUGCUAUUUUCUAUUACAUAGACAUUGCUUUGUACGAUCUGUUUUGUAUGAUGAAAACGAAUUAUUUUUGAGGGGCGCUCAAUUGUACGAAUCGGUGACAAUUAUACCCAUGUGCGCCAUCAGGGAUCUCGUUUGCACUAAAUUACGAGUUAAUCGGUUGAAAAUUUCGUGAAAUAGACGCCUGCUUUAUCGACUUCACGGGAAAGUAGGGAUUUCAUAUCGACAUAGCAGAGUAACCCCUUCAGAAGAUUCCAAUAACGUAUAUUAUAUUUUCAUUUCUUUGGCAUUCCAUACAUUUUCAAAAAAUCGAUAUUUCGUAUUAAAAUUUAAGAUAUCAAUUAAAAAUAUUUCUUUUAUACUUAUAAUUACGCGUUGUAGAGAAUUGAAAUUACGAUUAUCAAUAAUAUCAAGCACUGAGUAUCGAAAUUUCUUCAUUAAAAACUAUAUUUCAUCUUAAUCGUCAUUAUAAAAUUGUUUCUUGACUCUAUAUUAUUUUUAUAUCAGUUGAAUAUCAAUACCACCCUAGGGAUAAAUUUCUUUCUGACAAAUUCGCCAACAGAUGUCGCUAAGGUUCAGUCUAGUAACUUUAUAGGACACGAUCGAUAAGUGAAACGGAAAAGUUUACUUCCUUAUCGAUGUAAGAUACAAUGAAUAACCUUGAAAACGUUCCCUCAAAUAUUUUCAAUAUUAUUAUGCACGACACAUCUAAUUCCCGUGUUAAAUUGAAUGCCAACUAAUCGAAUUAAAUCUCAAAUUAACAAAAUAAUGUAAUAUCUCCUCUAUCCAUUACAUUCCGAAAAUUUAUUCCCCUACUUAAUAACCACUCUUCUCGUUAUCAAUCUCAAUUUCUGAAUCUGUAUCGCCAAUAUCUUGAUGAUACAAAAAAGAAGAACACACAAAAGUGUAUCGCGCAGAAUUGCUCAAAACAACCCCCGUGCUGAAAAAUAUCCGCCGCUAGAUGUCAGGAGAAUGUCCUGACAGCGCUAACUAGUGGGAAUCGCGGUGACUGUUUCUCCCGCCUAUCGGGGAGAGCCUCGAGGGGAGAGAGCCAUAUUCCCCGGAAAAUCUGCACCGUUGGAAAAGCGCUGAUGGGGAACCCGUCGAAAGUAGGCGGGGCAUUGGUCGUGCAGCGUGUUUGCACCGCAGAAGAAGUGGGAAAAAGGCCGAGUGGCUCGCGCCUGCUCAGCUUUUUUCCUCUCUGUCGCCCUGUCUCGCUCUCGCUCCCGUCUAGGCGGAGUUUAAAAAAAGAUUUCGCGCGUCGUGAGGGGGGAGGUGGAGCCACGGACGCGCGGAAUUCCGGAAUUUCACGAGUCCCCACGGCGGGGGAGGAGAGCUGGAGACGGCGACGGCGGCCCUCGAGAAGGGAUGAAGGGGAAAAGCGCAUAUAUCGAGUCGGUGCGAGUUUCGCGCGAUGGCAGGCGCGAGUGAGAGAGAGAAAGAGAGAGAGGGAGGGUAACGCGCAGGGAAAGUGGCGAAGGGGAAACUCGCCUGCUCCGGGCAGACCGAUCGAGCUCGACAACAGCCAGUUCAACGCGUGCCAACCCUCUUUCGAGAUACUGUCUUCUGUCGUGACGAGUAAACUGCCGCGUCGGUUUAUCCUUGUUUUCCCAUUCGUCGACUCGAAUUCCUCAUUCGUGACGCGGGAUUCGAAAGGGAUGAAUUUUUUUUUAUCGCGAUAAACAAAAGUGUGUCUAGAAUAUAAUAUUAAUAAUAAUGAUACUAAUACUAAUACUAAUAAUAAUAAUAAUAAUAAUAAUAACAACAACAAUAACGUGACGUUUGCAGUGAUCAGUGGAGUUUCGUUGCCAAGUUUGAUGAUAUGGUUUGAUGAGACCGUGGUUAUCGUGGUCAGCUAUGAUGGGGAGGCUGUGUAGAGAGGAGGAAGAGUUCAUACGCGGUGGAUGGCUCAUUGAGCUCAAGAUCGUUCAAAGUUGCUUGGUUCGUAUAAUUAUAUCUGUCAUGUACCUUCAAAGAGCUGUGGAAGGAUAUACGUUUAGGGAGAAUGAACCUUUAACGGGGUAGUGGUAGCUGCGCGAUUAGGUUUAUUUGGAACGCAUAUACCCGGAAUCACGUGGCCGAGUGACGGGAGUAAUGGUCGACUAACGACUCGCGAUCUUUUGAAGUUUAGAUUCGAUGGUGAACGUUCGGCUGUAAAUGUUCAUCGAGUACACCAUCACGUAUCUUUGACGUGGGCUUCUAUUUCCGUUCGUCUUGUAACCGCGUUGUUAGGUCCGUCUUCCACUGUCCCCUUAAAUUUACGACGGUGCGGGGCGGAGAGACACGUACGCAGCACGCACACCCGGAAAGGGCGUACUUAGUCAAGGCGGCAACGACUUUUAAAGGGAAUAGAACGAAUUGCACCACCGAUCAGGGACGUUCCGACGAAACGAUUACGAGUGUGUAAAUAUGUUUCCACUCCCUUCGAAGCCAGUUUACUUUCUCGUCAGAGCGAAACUAACGACGCGCCGUUAUCGUCGUACAGUUGAAAGUGGUCGUGUGUACCUUGGCAGCGAGAAGUGAUAACCGCGUUGUUAGCUGCGAAAUAAGCCCCGUGACAAACACACGCGGCCUCAACGAUAGCGUGAUAUAAUAACGAUAAGGAACGUUUCUCCAAAAAAGAUCAACGAGUUUCACUCUACGUGGUAUAUACGAUAACCUUGAUAAACUGACCCCACGAUAGUCGGCCACGAUAAGGAGAGAACCAGCGUUUCGAUAUCUUCAAACACAUCAAUUCCAAACUCCACUUCAUCCAGUUCUCUCCGCGUUCUUCAUUUUAUCGAAAUUUUCCCACCAGCAAAGUGAACGAACGCUUCUUUCGAAAGGCCAACGUAUAAAUCUCUCUUAGAAUCUGAAAAUCGGAAUCCGAAUCAAUCUACAACACGUCUAACAACAAUCUUCCAAUAUCUUACAUAUAUCGUUACACAUAUAUCACACGACUUCCUUUAAGGAAAAAGAAGAAAAAAAAAAAAGAAAAGGAAAAAAAUAUCACACCGCUUUUCCUCGCGUCACCAGCAUAAUAUAAUCGCAGCGUGGAGAGCGCGUGACGCGUGCUGGCUACAUCGCCAAGUCCUUCUGCCCCCCACCACCGCGCGGUAUUUCUCGCGCAACUUCCCCCUCCACCGACGAUAUUUCACCACCCCUACCAGGAACUCCGGUACGCGGACAGCGGCGACAAGGACGCGGCGAUCGGCGUACGCACGAGGCCGAGUGUAACGGAGCACGUGGGCCGCCGGUGGGGGUGGAGGAGGAGCGAUAAGACUGGAGGGGAAGCGUGGCGGAGGCACGGCGAGAGGGGAAGUUACCACUCCCCUUCCACCAACCAGCGGAGCGCGUUCUCUCCCACGUAACGGCGCUAACCGACGGGACCUUUGUUGCCCGCCACGCUCGAACGAGUGUCCCGCUCGAGAGUUUGGACGCUGGUGCCGCCCAGCGGUGAUCGCGGGAACUUUCGCCUCUCGGUGGUGGGGACGAGGAGGCAGCUGGUGGGGGGACCGCGGCGCGGUGGUGGGGGUAGAGCGUAGAGGGACGAGUGGUGGGGAUGAAUGCAGAGAACGGAGCGAGUACGAGGACGGGGGCAUGCUGCUCUCAGGACGCGCAGAACGUCAGAGUGGGUCGAAAAGGACGGGUGUAUCUCUCGUUCUCGCUCUCUCUUUCCCUCUUUCUCUCUCUCUUUCUCUCUAUUUCUCUCUCUCUUUCUCUCUCUCUCUCUCUCCGACUCUCUUUCUUCGUUUCUUUCGAUCAUUCGUCCCUCUCGCUCGCUCCUCGUGAAGAGGCAGAGAAAGAGAGGCCCGAUGGCGGGGUGAGAGCCGGCUUACUACGCGGCGAAACGCUACCACGGCGUUCAGUCGUCAGCGAUCAGACCGCCGGGCAGUGUGAACCUUCCUGGGCAGUCUCUUCAUCUAACCACUCUUCCUCUGCUGUCGUCCCUUCACGGACACGACGCAGCGAUCGGCAUCUGGAAAAGUUGGAGUACAGUUUCCGAGAUGGAUUUGCCCGAUGAUCCCCUGAUAGAUCAUCGCGGCCUCGAUGGAGGGAUUGAGAACAAGCUUCCAAGGAGCGGAGUAGAGGAACGAGGAAGAAGAAUUCAACACGAGAGAGAGGAAAGAAAUCGAGUGAAUUUACGAGAGAGAGAGAGAGAGAGAGAAAGACAGAGAGAGAGAGAGAGAGAGAGAGAUAAUAUUUGCUGUGGGACGAUUGCGAAAAAACGAUUUCAAACCUUCGGCUACGAGGUUCGCCGCAACUCUGUGACAGAACCGAGGGCCUUCAAGGACGCUCGCGAGCCGUUCGAUAACCAGGCUAACAGAUGUUGGAAAAGAUCUUGCCCUGCGAACCGAUUGCCGCGGUUCAAACUGGCUGAGACGAUCGUCGCGGGAGCAUCGAAAAUCUUAGAGAAUUCCAGAAAUCGUUGGAUAUCGAGAAGUUGGUUUAACGACACCCGAAGAAUACGAACUUCGCUCGCAUCGAAACUCGAAGAUUUCAGGAUUCUGGGGAAAAAGAAGAAUCGAAGAAUCGAGCUCCGAAUUUCGAAAUUUCCAACGAUAUUCGAACACAGUGAAUACACGCAACAAAUUGUAUGGUCAUAGUGAGGAUCUCGUUCGUUUGUGCGCUCGUUCGGGCUUGCGUCGAGCCACGUGGUGCUCCGAAUCGCGCGAACGAAUCUGCGCUUCAUAAUUCUCGCGCGUAUGCAACCUUCCCUCUUUGCGAAACCGCGUCUCGAGGAGGUGAAAACGAAGCGAGAGAAUCGAAAGGUGAAUCGAAAGUAUCAAUAAUUUUCCUUCGUUGCAUUGUCGAGCUAUGUGGUGCCGUUCGAAUCGUAUUUAUGCAACGAAGAAACGAGAAACUGUUCACGCUUCGACGCCAGCCGAAGAUGUUGGAGGUUUUUGAAGACUCGAAGAUAGUGAGACAGUGUGAACGGAUCGGUAAUGAAACGGAUCGACGAUGGAUCCGGAAGAAAAUGAAAAUGAUAAAAAAAAAAGGAAGAAAAAAGAAAAUGAAAAAUCGAAUAAUAAUGACGAAUGGUGUGGUUAAAUUUAAAAUAGUCGAAUGACGUAUAAAAAAAAAAGAAAGGUAUAUUAAUUGGGGGAAAAGUGGGAGGAAUAUAGCUGCACGUCGAUUUUAUUCUUGUCGUCGAUUAAUGAGACGAUUGAAGGGAACGAUUGAAGAGAACGUUACGCUUUACGGACGUGUUAGCAGCCGACGGCUCUUUGCCAACGAGAUCGUCACGAAUCAACGAUGAACAAGUGAGAGGUGUGUUCUACGCUCGGUUGGAAGUGUGCAUGUUGCUUAUAGUGGCGGUAUUAUUCGGUAAGGAUAAGGAAAAUGGCGGGAAAAAUUUGGAAGUGUGUCGGAAUUUCGAGUGCACGGGCGAAAUCACGAAGAUGGAAUCGGUAAUGAAUAUUUUUUUAAAAGAGAGGAAAAGUCUCUCUGGUCACAGUGAGGCGAUUUCUUUGAUAAUAAUAACGAAACGUAUUAACCCUAUAUUUAACCUUUAUUUUUACAUCGGAUUCGAUAGAAUUCUCCUCGAGAGAAGAUACGUAAAGGAUAUUAUUAUAAAUUAAUCUAAUGAUAGGGAUUACGUAGAAACUUUACAAAAUACCUGGGUAUCUUCGAACCUUUUCCUUGUUAAAAAGUUUCCCCAUAAAUUUGUCACUGUCACAGAAAUGAUAUACGCCCCGCCAGCUUCGAAAUCUCGUCGAAUUAUCUCGUUCCACUUAUCAGGGAAUAUUUCCAAACAAACGGCCACGCCCCCGCUUCUAAAAAAAUCUUCCCUUUGAACAAACUGGCCGAAACGGGAUACUCGAACGUCGAGGAAAUAUUUACAACACGUUGCGUUAUAAAAAUCUUCUCGAAAAAGUCUCGUUCGAAAUCACCUUCCAUGAAAUAAAAGUAUAUACAUUCUCACCUAGCCAUGUAUAUCGUUCUCGUUACGAUAAAUCUCGUAAUAUCCCAGAAGCCGUUUUAGAUUUUCGACCUAAAAUUCUCCAAAAAUAUAAUAAAUUAAAGAGCAGAGAAACGCCACUGUUCUUCAAUCGAAAGAACAUGAACGUGAACGAGUGAAAAGGGAAGGAAGGGAGAGAGAAUGAAAAGGAAAGGAGGACGUUUUCGCGCGGGGAGGGGGUGGUUGGGAGGGCCCCGUUACGUCAUCAAGGUUGGCGAGGCGCCGAGGAAUCCGGCAAGACGAUACGGCCCUGCCCUCGCCGGCCAGAUAGGGUAUAAUCAUGGCGAGUUUCGUAUCUCGAAGGGGCACACACAGCGAAGAUGGUCCAACAUCUGCCGCUGCAGGGAAUCUCUGCCCACAUGCUGGCCCUAGUGCGCGUACGUACGCACGCACACCGGCAAAAAGUGACAUAGCUACACGCCGGGACGUCAUGUAAAUUCAUUCGAAACACAUGGCAGGGCCGAGCCGGCGGUUCCUUCUCGUUUCUCCUCUCCGAAAGGGUUCCUUCUCCGCCACCGAGCUGGAAUCCGGGGAGGGGGAAGGGGGAUGUUGGGUAUAAAAAAGGAAGAAGAAGAGAAAAACAGACGAUAACUUCGACUUUUAGACAAGGAGGACGUCCUCCUUCACCUUCUUCCUUCUCGACCUCUGUACUGGGGGACCACCUCGCUUGAAUCCCCCUCUUUUCAAUCGCCUCGGUUCGAUCCUCGGAUUUUCGAGGUGUCCAAUGGAGUUGACAAUUUGGCACAACGGUUGUCGCGUUGGGAGAUCAAGAUUGGUUCACGAAAUUUUAAAAGGAUUGGUACAAGUGCAAUAGAAAGAGAAAUUUGAGGGUCAAUAAAAAUAAAAGACGGUUCGCUGAUUAUGAUAUGUCAUCAAAUUAUUGAUGGAAAAAUAAGUGUAUUUGUAAAAAACUAGUCUCUUGAAAAUUUUUGAUUAUUAUUUUAUUUUAUUACAAUAUUAAUAUAUUUAAGUAUAAUUUGAUAAUAAUGAUAAAGGAAUGAGGAAACUACAUUUUCAAUGAUGGGCCAUAAAAGGGAUUAAAUAUGAAUUAUAUGGAACUUUGUUUGUUUCCAUUACAAUAAUCCUCGAUUGUACAUAGAAAAAAUUCAUUUUUUUUAAUCUAACAAAAAAAAAGAAGAUCAAAUAUAAAUUGAAACGUAUUGAUUUCAAUGGUACAAUUAAUUCUUUUCAUCGAUAGUUUUUCAAAAAAUUAAUAUUUUUAUAUACCGAAGAAAGGAAGGAAACAUUUUCAUACUAAAUAAUAUCACUUCACAUUUAAUUAUACCUUCCCAAGGAAAAUAAAUUUGAAAGACUAUUCGAUCAGAAGUUAAAACCCAUUAGAAAAUCAUGAUCGAUUUAAAAAAAAAAAUUCCGUCUUUCAACGAGUCUUCACGAUAGGCCGCCAUAUUGGAUAAAAAUAAUAAUAACAACAAUAACAAUAACAAUAAAAGAACGAAAUUAUCGGUUCGAAAAUCGAGAAAAAAGGGAGGGGAGGAAGGGAAAGCAACAGGAAGAAUAUAAAAAAAAGAGAGAGAUCCGAAAUAACAGGGUAUUCGGAUAACGAGUGUUCCUUUUAACGAGGGUUUCCAAAGAAAUCGUUAACGGGGUAAUUCUCGCGUUCCACAGCUAAUUACACGUCGAAACCAUGAAAUUCCACCGUUCCUUGAUUCAUUAUGCUGACACGAACAGACAAUAAUGGAUCGUCUUUUGUUUUCGAUUCGUCAAGUUUAAAACCAGGGGGAUUUCGAUUCCGCUCGAAGAUAGCGCAGGGAGGGGUGUCUCGUUCAAGCGUUAAUCGGUCGAAAACCUUGGAUAGAAGAAGGAAAAUAAAAAGAAAGAAAGAAAGAAUCAGAAAUUGCGCGGAUAAGAAAGGAGAUGGAUGGAUAGAUGGGUGGAAUUUAGAGAGAAAGAGGAAUUACGGGGAGAUGAAGAAUAGAGGAGGAUGAAGAGAGACAGAGAAAGAGAGAAAGGAGGAGGAGGAGACGGGAAAAUAGAAGCAAGAUCGCCGCGUGGAGAAUUGCAGAACUGCCUUUAAUUAAAGCCAUCAAGCUAGUUGAACAAUUAUCAUUAAUUAUGGACGUUGGUUGGCCGCUCACACGAGCCGUCGUCAUCGUCGUCGUCGUCGUCGUGGCUGUUUAGAGAGCAAUGGUUCAGCUUCGUUCGCGUGCACGUCGUCAAUUUGAAAGGGGAAGGUUAGUGAGAAGGAGGGAAGAAAAGGGAGAAAAGAGGAAGAAAACAAAGAAAAGUAUCGAAAUCGAGAAUGGGAAAGAAAUAUAGAUGCAAGGAUCAUCCCUUCUCGAUAUACUUUUAUCACUUUGUCACAUUUUCUUCUUUCUUUCAAUGGAACUUCCAUUAUUCUAGUUACCGAAUUAAUUAAAAUCAUUAUUAUACACUAUCUCUACGUAUAAUAUUUUUCCUUAUGUAGAAUAUUAUAAAGAAUAGAAUUUCAUUUAAAAUUAAUAUUGAACACAUAACGACAUGUUAUCGAAACCAAAUCAAAAAAUAGUUUUGAGAAGAAAUUAGAGAAAGCAAUGAGAAUCUAUUUGAUUCGAAUAAUGGAAGUUUUACCUCUGCGUUCAUAACUCGAAUUCGACCUCUUCUUUCGAUCAUCGAAUCAUUGGACGGCCAGAUCAAUCGAGUUGAUCUUGGACGAGAAAGAUAUAACCUUUUACGGCUUGUUGUACGAAAAAGGAAAUAACGGAACUUUCCUCUUUGAUUUCCUUGGCGGAGGUGUAAAACAAAGAUUCGGCGGUUGGGGGGAGAAAGGAGGAGGACGGAGAAAGAAUAUCUCGAGGAAUUCGACGAUUGUUCAGAGGCGUUUAAAAUUCUUCGGGGUUGUUGGGGUCGAGAAACGAGACGCGACGACGGCUUUGGCCUGUUUUUACGUGGGACGAGAAUUUCGAAAGCGUCGGCGAACAAGCGUAAAGAGGAUCGCUGCGCAAUAAAAAUGACGAUUUACGUUCGACGUCAUCGUUAUAAAACCGGGGGCCAAUGACUCGAUGAGCCACCCGUCUCUUCUGUCUUCCCUUGAUCUACGCACCCCAAUUCUCUUUCUCGAUCCUGAAUCACCCAUUAACUUUUCACGACUCUUUAUUAUAGGCUUUGUCCCGAUAUCGAAAUAAUUUGUUCAUUAAUUCAUUUUGCCUCUCCAUAUACGAAAAGUUUCUUGUAUUUAAGAUUUGAAGAUUUAGAAUGUGGAAAAUCUUUUAUUUCUUUUUUUCUUUUCUAAAUUUCUUCGUCUACCUGAGAUGCUAAUUUUAGUUUAUGGACAUUCUUUAUUACGUUUCAAUUUUAGUACGAAUCAAUUGUAUAACUGUUCUUCUAUAUUUUUAGCAUCAAAAUGAUUGCAAAAGCGAGGGUGUAAAUACAUAAAUAAACUCAUCCCGAGUUAUUAAGAAAUAAUCACAGGAAUGAAAAUUUCGAAACAACUGGUUAGACGAAGUUUUCUUCUUCGAUAGCAUCUUAUUAUUUAUCAUCGUGCUUUAUGUCCAUAAUAAAUAGACUUGGAUACCCUAUUAUGCCCGUGUAUAGUCUUUAACCUCCGCUCAAUCCUAGAGUAAACUAUCAAUUUACUUUUCAAAGAAUAUGAAAGGAAAUAUUAUUGUCUUAUAUUUACCUAUUCCAACAACUUCGAUCCAGGUUUUCGAUUGUCGUUUAAAUUACCCUUGAAUAGUUCACAUUAACUCCUAAAUAAAAAAAACAAAUCUAGAAAUAAUCUAGUAAAAUCUUCGAUCAUUGAAAUAUUACUCAAAUAUUUAAAUCGAAAUAAUAUCCCAGCCUCAAGAAAAAUUUCGAUGCACGUAUCUGAUCUCCGCGAAAAAUAAGAUCAAGAAAAGCGAUCCAAAAACAGACGAAAAGAAAGGAAAGUGAAUCAACCUAACAAGUCCCUUGAAAAAAAAGCGCGGUUGGUGGCUAAUCGUCUCGCGCCCCAUAAUUAAUUACGCGUUAUCUGGAACAGGCCCCGAUUACGGUGUCCCUUAACGGGACAGCGAUGGUCCCCCGAUAAUAGGCCAGAUAGAGUGGCCUUAUUAGGAAAAAUGUAAGGUUCGGCCUUUUCGGUGUUUUACGAGCGGAAACCCGGCCAUAUUUCUCCGUGAAAUUUAACGAACCUCGGUUUGCCCGGAUGGGACACCAUUAAAAAAUUCCUGGCCGUCAUGUGGCGUCGUGGCGCGCAAGCGGCCGAUAAACGGCGGCGUAAACGCGAGGAAUGAUGAUAUUACGAGACGUUUCGCGCGGAAAUAUACCCUGCAGAAGUGGGAUCGGCGAGAAAAACACUGAUUUAUCGGACGCGGGCUUAAUUGCGCGCGAAGCCGAUUUAUGAGCCGUGUUACCGUUCGAUGAAACCGUGUUGGUUCGAGGUCACGAGACUCGUCAUCUCGUGGAAGAGAUCCUACUGUUGAAUUUUCAUUUCUCCUUUUGUUUGCUUGCUUUUUAUUUUCUCUUUCUUUUAAUUAUUAUUUAGGGGAGGUUGUUUCGAAAGUGGAAACGGGAGAAUUCGUUCAACAACCCGAGUCAAUUAAAACUGUUUAAACUGCGCGUUUAAAGUGUGUUGUCGAUACGAAAUUGAAUUAGACGGAAGAUUGUUUGUGGAAAUUUUUCGUGAAACGCUGAAAAUAAAUAUCGGCUGGAGAUGAUAAAGUAAUUUUUUUCCAAAAUGUGGUUUUUCGACAUGCCGAUGGUAAAAAUUAAUGUUUUCGCCAUCUCUCGGGCGCACAACCGGACGGACGUUUCAAUUAUUUAAGCUGACAACGAGCGCACUCGGCCGAAAGAGUUUGGAAACUCGAAAGUGCAUUUCGUGCACGUAACAAACUUAAAUAGACGGAUCGUGUGCACGGGUUGGGCCGCGACUAUUAUCAGAUCAAUAAUUGGCGAAGGAGGGCCGAACUUGCCGAACUUGCCGAGCCCGUUUCGGGUUAAUUCCCGUCUAUCGAGCCUCGUGUCUGUCACUCGUGUGGCUUGCUCGAGGGGGGAAAAAAUAACGAGUCUCAUCGCUCGUCACGGGAGAAAUGCAGUUGCCGUGUGAACUGAAACUGCAUCAAACUUGAAAAUAUCCCUUGAAGAUCCCUUGAAGAUCGAGAAGAUAAUUUGAGAAUCAGAAUUAAGAACAAUCUCCCCCUCUCACGUUACGCAUGAUUUUCGAAAAAUGGAAAAUUUUAAAAUAUCUGUUACAAACAAAAUCUUUUUGAAUCGAACAUUCUUUCCAGACAGAGAUAUUUCAUUACACCAUAUCUUCUAAAAAAAAAAAAAAAGAAAAAGAAUAAAGGAAGAGAGGAAACUAGUAUUUCAAAUUUGAAAACUACCAAUCAAACUCCACUGAAUUUUAAAUACCACAAACACUAUCAUUAUACUUGCAUUUACUCUCCCCUAGAUCCAAAGAAACGGUGCUUAUUUCGAGCACACCCAAUGUUUUACAAACAAAAUUAUGACUUCAAGUCCAAGACCAAUUACCCUUAAAAAGAAAGAAAGAAAGAAAGAAAAAGAAAAAAAUUCAUCGAGAAACUAAAUUACAGUCCACCAUUUGAACCAUCUCUCCAAGUUUCUUCCUUCCUUCCUUUCUUUUUUUCCCUUACUUUCUUUCUUCUUUCUUCUUUUUUUUUCAAUCCAACCGAGAAGAACAAAAACUUUAAACGUACGCAUCGAACCAACAUGAAAGUAUAAUCCUUCUCCUCUCGAAGAAGGUAUUACACGCGCAGCCGAGGCGGCGUUGUGUCUACGCGGACAGGAAAAAGCGACCCCCCGCGCUCGAAAGGGGUUCGAAAGAAACGGCAUCACGUAUUUCUACGAUCGUGCCGUGGCAACAGGAGUAGCAAAAUCGACGACGUUUCGCGCAUAAUUAAGCAGUUCUCGGCCCCGUAGUAUUUUAGGGCCGAGGUGACGUCUCUAUCCCGUGCGGCUCGCUCAUAUCGCGGGUGUUUACUCGGAUUUACAUCGCGCAUACAUAUGUAUGGAAGAAACUACGAUUUGUAUCGUCACGUUGGCCAAUUAAGGGGCCGGGGUCGUUAACGAAGAGAAUAAUUAGAAAGCGUUGGCAAGCCGGCCGGUGUGGACGACCUGGUGUGCACGUACUCUUUUUUUUCUUUUCUCCAUUUUAUACGCCAGAAUACACCGCUCCGAGUAGCCACGAUGAGGGCAGAGAGAGAGAGAGAGAAGAAAAUGAAAAAUAAGAAAUGAGAAGGAAAGGAAAAAAAUUCGCGCCACGUUCCAUAAACGUGGUGGAUAAAACGCGGGGAAUUAAUAUGUCUUAGCCGGACAUAUUUGCAUUCGGAAUGCCUGCAUAUGAAAUGGGGAUGUUCGGCCUCGAGGCGGGCCUGGAAUAACCGAGAAACGGGCAAUUAAAAGGGGGUAAUUGGGUAGAUUCCUUUUCGCGCGACCACCCAGGGUAUGUGUGUGCUAUUAUUGUCGUUUGAGACCGAAAUAAAAUUGUCUAGGAAUUUAUAGCUUUCUUUGUGUUUCUCUAAAAUAUUCAUUAUUGAAAAUUAAUAAAAAAAAUAUAUAUAUGAAUAAGAAUCGAAGGUCAGUUUGUAUUUCAAAAGUUUGUUCUAAAGAGAUUAUUUUAACAUUUCGUAAUUUUUCUCUUUGCUGAAGAUAUUCGGUGAAAUUGUAUUAAAAAAGGAUGCAAUUAAAUAGGAAAUAUUAUCAGGAAUAAAAGACAGCGAGAAUAUAGGAGAAGAAGAAAAUUAGUAUUACAGUAUUCCCUUGCUCCUUUGCAGAUUUUAAUUCUGAUUGAUACUCGCUUAAUUACUACCUUCAAGGAUUAAUUACGGACCAGUUAGCACAAGUAUCCAUACUCGUUCUGAGUCUGAUCAGAAUUUAAUUUAUCCAACAUUUUAUCGCCCCAACUUAUACUCAUCUCGCGAUAUACACGUUGCUCCUUCCUUCCGCUAUCACUCCCAUCCAUCUUCUAUCCCGAUCCUAAUUUUACUUUAUAACAUCCAGGAACUGUUGAGUUAUUCAAAGAUUCACCCUUCGAAAUGCAAUUAACAACAAAGCGGAAAGCGAAUAACGAACACGAUUAACGAAUUUGUUGCACAAAAAAGAAGAAGAAGAAGAAGAAGAAGAAAUAUAUAUCACGCGAUAUCGGAUCGAUCCAAUAAAUUCUUAGUUCGUCGAAAAAUCGGUGAAAAUCGACAUCGAUCGGAUCGAUUGGACGCGUGAAUGGACACGACUUUUUUACACACGCUGGAAAAACAAAAAAAAAAGGGGGGAAAGAAGAAAAAAGAGGAGGAAAAAAAACAGCGCGUACGCGAUGGUGAAUUAAUCGUCUCGAUGGUCGAUUCGCGGGCCGGGGAUCGGAUUUGUUGUUUUCACCGUUGACGCAGAUUUUUUCCCUUCCCUCCCUUCCCUCCCCCCGCCCGAGAGACACGCUCGCGAAUUAAUGGUGAUGGUGGUGGUGCUCGAGUGGCGGUGUUUCGGGAGAGGGGUUUCGAAUCAAGCGAGGGGAAAAAAUUUGAUAAACUGCGCCUCUGCGGUGGUUUUUUUUCCUCUCUCUCUCUCUCGUUUCCACCCUCUGUAAACCGGACCGGUUUGAUAUUUGCCAUGAAAAUCGUUCCGCUUGUCGGCAAACAGUGUGCCACUCCGUCGCGCGAUUCGCGUGAAAAUAUAUUCUGGUCGAUCGGUGUUUCCCGAAAUCGUGAGCCGAUAAAGAGCAAUAGCGGGACGAAACGGUUGAGGGGAUGGAGGGAAAACAAAGAGAGGAUGGGCAAAGGAGGGGCGAAAAAAGAGAGAGAGAGAGGGAGGAAAAAAAGAGGGAAAAAUAUGCGACACGAUUUUUUAGAGGCUGUAAAAAACACGUGUUUGCACGGGGAGCCGCGGCUCGGGCCCCGAUCAGAUGGCUACACAGGGCUGAUUUGCAUGCGACCUUUGCCUCCAGGUGUUCCUGAAUUUGCAUACGAAAGGGUGGCGCUCGCAGAUUUCUCCCUCCUCCUGGUCCCCUUCUUUCUCUCUCUCUCUCUAUGUUUCCGCGUCUCUGUAUCCCUUUCUGUCUCGUUUCCCUUCUGUCUUCCGCUUUCGUUCAUUCUGGCCUCUGUUCAACCCCCGGUGUACGCAUUUAUGGGUUACUGGCUCAGCGUGUCGCGUCGUUAACUCGCCGUUAAAUUUUCGUUAACGUCGCUCUUUAAUCGGGCAAAGUUCGCCCGAUUGAAUGAAAGUUAUGGUAGAUAGGAUAGGAUCUGAUCGCGAUUCAAUCGAUCCUCGUCCACGGAAAGAGUAAUUUAUUCGUCGAUUAUUAGAUUGUGAGAGGUAUUGAAGCGAAGGAGAAGAAGCAGAAGAAUUGCUCGGCUAUCCGUACAUUGUUUUAAAUUUAGAAACACUCGGUUGAAAUCUAUUACGUACGAAUAAUGUUUGUUUAAAAUCUUCAGACUACAAUGUUUACAAUAUGUUUCUCGUUAACGUUUUAAUCUGUUGUUACUUAUAGGAUCGUUUCUAACAAUUCCGGAACGGAAUUAUUCAUUUAUUGAAAAUUCAUGGACGUUUCAUCAAUCCGUUCGAAGAAUACGAUAAUUCUAUCGAAUUCUAUUAAAUAUAUCACGAAAACAAUAAUUCGUGUGAAAAAGUUUUCUUUCCUCGCGAUUUAUUUCAAUAUUGCAUCCAUACAAUAUUAUCUCUGUAAAAAAAGAAAAGAAAAUUACUACGUUUGAUCUUCCGGCAGGCGUUGUUUCGGAAAAUAAACGAAUUCCAUUGUUCUCCGUCAAUUUUCGAUUCACACAGCAACAAGAAAGCUCAACAAUAUUCACGAGAACGUACACGAGGCUGGUUAUUCCCGUUCGAGGCUCUAAUCUGCUCGAAAAUGAUCGAAUUGGAUGAUGGAGGGGGGAAAAAAUUUCUUUGCAAGCACACUUUGCGAAGGAAAACACGGGGGCGGCGAAUUCCGCGAAACGAUUCGCGAGCGGAACGACGAUCGAACGAAUGAAAGGCCCGAUUAUAAAUUCAAUCACGCGCGCACGUAGCGGGCCAGGAACUGGGCAAACUGAAAAGAGUCCCGUGCAAUUAUUUCUGAUUACGGACCUGUAUCGAGCAUGAUCGAGGCCGACGCGAGUAAUCGCUCGCGUGGCACGUAACGAGCGUUUCCACGCGAGCCAUUGAUUUAUUUAUCGCGGGACGUGAGCCCGGCACGCUGUUUAUCGCCGCGAGAUUAUCCAUCUGACGUCGCGACGGGGACGGUUUCUGGCUAAUCUGAAUAUUUCGCGACGAACGUCGCUGUUUUGCUCCAACGACAAACGUUUAAGAGGAAAAGAAGUUGGCUUUGAGGAAUUUUAAUUAGCGAACACGUGGAGUGAACCGUGAUAAAUAUGUUGACGGAUCGUAUUGUGGUACUGUGUGCGCGAGUGGCAAAUUCCACCGAGUUUGGUUAAUUGAUUCCGAUGUGAAAUUUUUACAUUCCUUAUUUUGACUUUAUUUACCGAUGCAUACGUUCUUCGAAUCUCUUGGAGAUAUGUAAUUCGAUCGAUUCAACGAUCCGUGUGUAUCGAUAAAGAACGUAUUUAGAAUGAAAUAGGUCGUGUAAAAUUCUUGGCGCGAAAGUUGUAUUUGUCUUUCUUACGAAUUGUAUUAUAUUUCAACUAAUUAUACCGAAUGGAAUUCGAGUGUGUGACGUGAUAGCCGUAAUGGCAGAGGCGACGUUGAUUUACUUGUUUACCAUCUGCUUAUUUCUUCAUCGAAGCAUACGUUUCUCGGAAUAUCGGAUUGCAAUUUUUCCUGUCGCAAAUCCGAUUGCACGAUGUCACAAAUAAUGACAGUGUUGUCACGAGACGGCUGGUUAAUUUUUCUUCGAGAGAUUAUCGUUUUCUUUUCAACCGACAAUGAGAGCUAUUCCCGUGCAUGCGCACAUUGAGCUCUGAUCGUCUUCACUUUUUCCCUUUUUUUUUUUUCAUUUACAUAUAUAACGCAAUUGUUCGAUGCAACAAGAAAAAAUUACGAAAAACGAACAACGAAAGGAAUAUAAAAAUUAAUUUUUUAAUCGAAAAUUCAUCAUGUUCGAGUCUCAAAAUAGAAUUUAUUACAAAGCAAAGUAAUGAAAAAAAAAAAAAUCUUAUUCUCAACGUUAAGCCUGAUUUAACGUUGAGUUCCACUACUGGUCGCUUUUAUUAUUUAUGAAAUUUGUUGCGGCUAUUUCUACUUGUCGCGAUAUUACGGUGCCUGAUCACAUAAAGGAGGUAUCUACUGGCUCGAGAAUAUUGCCACAUCGAUAACAACAACGUUGUUAUUCUUCCAGUAUCGUGUGUGCGAUAUAGAAAUAAAAGAGUCUUCUUGGCUUCAUCCGAUUUAUGAUAUCCCUUGCAUGAUUAUUAUAUUUUACGAGUAUGUUUCAUCAUUCCUUCUCCAAUCCAACGAGAUCAAAGAUCGAAACAAGAACUCUAAAUCAAAGGUCUCAACGCAGGAUACUCUUAUAUCAACUCUCCCGAUAAUCCAUCAUCGGCUAAAGAAACAUGUUCCUCCGCGAAACAAGAUCGCCUUGAAACAUGCAGAUGCAAACUGCACUAUUUCUUUUUUUCUUUUUUCUUUUUUUCCAAUCUCGAUAUUCUCUUCCAUUUUUCCAUUAUCAUUCUCUAAGAUCACACUUAUCAAUUUAAACGAAACAUCGGUACUCGUUACCUUUUUCGAAAUACUAUCACCCCUUUCUUUCGCGCCCUCUUCGAAAGUUUCGUACUCGUGAAAACAUAUUCCUUUUCUACUGUCGACGUAAAAAUUUUAACGCGUAACAAUUCAAAUUUCAACAAGAAUCAAGAAUUCUUUCUAAAAUUAUCUUCUUACAAAAAUACUGAUUAAAGACUUGACAAGAAUCCUCCCCAGCCAUUAAAAUUCUCGAUCCUUGCAAUUAUUUCUCGACGAAGCAACUCCUCGAUCCUCCGGAUUUUCGAUUUUUCAUUUGCUCCGCAUUCCUCCCACCCACUCCCCUCUUCCGUUUCCCAACUAAUCACUUAAUCUGGCCCGGAACCUCCCCCGGUAUCAUUGCGCGUACGCGCGCGUAUGAUGGCGUGCGUGUGUCUGCGUGUGUUCCGCGAUGAUGAAGGAGAGGGCCGGCCGGCAGCCAUCUUGGCUGACGUCAGCUCAUGCCGAGCACGCAACCGCGAAACGCCGACUUCCUCGUUGCGAUAGCCGCCUUACUUUUUUAUUACUCCCUCUCAUUCCCUCCGCCCGACCCUCCCCGCUGUUGUUCAGCCGCUUCUUUCGCGUCCCCUCCGCUACACAUACGCUUCUCGCUUCACGCUCGGCUCGAUCGUGCGCGAUCCCAUACGUGCAUACGUGCACGUACGCGUGUGAUACACGCGUUUAGCCCGCGAAACGAAGCGAGACACCCCUCCCGCUAUAUCUAAAAUGGCGGAAUUUAAUGGACAAACGCUCGGCCGCUAUUCGCCGCUCGCUAUGAAAAUUAAGGUAGGCGGUGGCGGUGAUUCUUAUCGGUGUGCAUUCAGUUUCCACGGCGAAGAGAACGUUUCACGACAGCGUUUCUCUCUCCCGAGUUGAGAGAGGAAGGUAUUGACGCGUGGAUGGCCGCGACGACGCUGUGGAGGGAACGAUUUUUUCGUUGGGUGGUUAAACGCUUCGGUUUUGGCGCGGAUCUUUCCUCCAGCAGUUCGUUAUUUGUAUGUAUUGGGUUAGGGAUGGGGAGGAGUCAAGAGCAAAGAGUCUUUUAGGGUUUUUAUUCGAAUCUUCUUUGAGCAGUAUUUGAAAUAGGCGAAUUUCUCUGAAUUGAGGAAUUGAGGAGAAAAAUAAUUUAUCGUGUGUAUUGCAGUUUAGGCUCGAAAUAGAAUUUUUAAAUUUCGAAAUGUUGAAUUUUCACGAUUUAUUUAUAAUAAAUAAAUGCUAAUUCAAUAAUCAAAAUUGAAAGAUAAAUGUUGAGACGAUUAGACGUCAGGGAUCGGAGAAGUGCGAUCAGCUUCUACUGAAGUUCUGAGAUGUCUGACCAGGAACGUCUAAAUCUCUUGCACGCUCUACUGAAUAAACACUGGCUUCGGUUUACCAUAAACUUCAGUAAUAAUUAUAAUUUUAUUAAUUCAGCGUACAUCAUUUCUUCAUUCCUUCAAUCGAUAUUUCAAUAUCGCUUAGCAAUAUCGCUUGAAAAAUAUUCUGCUCUAUUCGUAAUAAUAAUAAGUUUUCAUGAAUGCGCGUCGUUGGAAUUUACGAUUAUCUAAAAAUGACUCUGAUUCGUCGUAGAAUUGCGAUAUCACGAAAGAACGUGCAGUUUUUUUCGUAGAUAAUAUUCUCGUUUUUCUUUCUUUACUUUUUUUCUUUUUAAACUUGUAAUAAAAUAAAUAUGACGAAUUGUCGAUAAAUAUUCUAUUCCAUGUUGAAAUUUCGUAAUUUCGUUAGUUUGUCUGUUCGAGAAUUGCAAGCUAGAUAUGUUUACGAUUCGUCGGGCAGUUUGUUUGUUACUUCGUACCAACUAAGAAAUGAUCCAGGUAUAUAGAACAAAAAGCACGGUAGAAUCUACAAAUUGUCUUACUGUAGACACGUUCUUCAAGCGUGUACUACAAACAUGGAGUUCUUUCGAUAGAUUUCGUUAAAAUUUAAUUGCUAUCGAUUAAAUUUGAAAAAGGUAGAUUUCACAUUUCUUAAAUUUUGUUAUAUACGAUUUUCAUUCUUUUAAACGAGCAAAAGAAAUAAAUAACUUUUCGAAAGAUACAUUUUUUAAACAAAUGAACGAAUAUUCUUUCAAUCGUCGUCGUAUUUCACUCUUACAUUUCCGCAAAUUAUUCGCUCUUAAAAAAACGAGAAAAUGAGAAUCCAUUACCCUCGGAUAAAAACAUUAAAACUAACAAUUCUUAACAAUCUUAACCUAUAUCAUCUUCUCAUUAUCAAGAUAUCGAAUCUCAUUUUAUCAUUAAUCGUCCCCCCGGAUAGGAAAUUAAAAAAAAAAAAAAGAAUCUUUAUAGAUUCAAUGAACUUUGUAUCGUUCGACGAUCCUUCGAUUCGUAUCGCGAAGAACCAGUUUUCAGAAGAAGAAGAAGAAGAAGAAGAAGCAAGGGUGAGAGAGGGUGCAAAGAGAAAAGAGAGAAUGCAAAAGAAGGAGCGCGCGCUCUCGUUGGAUCCGAUAAAAAUUUACCUUUUUUUUCUCUUUUUCUCUCUUUCUUUUUUUUUUUUUUCUUUUUUUCCCUCCUCUUUGCGAAACCAUUACGAUUUAUUGCGGCGCCUACUGCUCGUCACCGAUCGAAAACCUGCUCCGGCAAAAAGCGGAUGAAAAACGAGAUCGAUAGCCGGCCACAUCUCGCUAAUCCGAACCGAGCUCGUGUUUCGUUUUCUUUUUUUCUUUCCUUUUUUUCCUCUUUUUUCUUUCUUUCUUUUUUUUUUUUUUCGUACGUACCUGCGAGCGGAUGGUUAACGCGCGAAAUCGAACGAGUAAACUGUUCUGAAACUGUUGCUGCGCCCGCGUCCAGGUGAAUAUUAAUUUUUUUUAUCGUCGAACCACCACGAUCGAAUACACCGAUUACGGGAGCAGUGAAUCGAUGUUGAACCAACAGAAACUGUAUUUUUUCGCGGUUUCUCGGUUUUCGAACAUCUGGUCGAUCGACUUCGAAAGGUUGAAACGGUUCACGACACCUGAUAAUUAAGAUUAUCGAUGUCUGUUUUUUUUUUUUUUUUUUUUAGAUAAUGAUAUUAGGUUAUUGAGAGGAGGAAAGUGUUGUUUCCAAGUGAAUGAAAAUUUUUAAUUUAUUUCGAUUUAAAUCGAUCAUUGGAUAAUUCGAUGUAUCGAAUAUUCGGAGAAAAUUAUAUUUAUAAUUUAUCUUUGUCCAAUUUCGAUUUGGAUAAUUUAUGAUCGUGUUCUGUCAAAUUUUUCAAAGAUAUAAUUAAUUUGAAUUUCAAAUGAUAAUCAAAGUAAUCAAAUCUUUACGCGUUUUAUUCAAAAUUUUAUCGUAAAAUGACGAGUUAUAAAAAGAGAAAAGAAAGAGCUUAUUUAGCUUAGAACUUAAGCUCAGAACCUUCCACGAGGGAAACAAACGAUUUGCACGUUCAAAUUAUCGUUCUGUCAUACCCUAUCGAAGGGAUUACGGGUGCUGACUGUUACUUGUAUACUUUAUUGCCUACUGUGCUGCCGCGCUACCACUAUAAUAUGCUAAUAGAGGGAUGCCAGGCCCCCUUCGUAACGACCUGGAUCCUGUUACGGGAACCCAUCCCAUAUGUACCCCUCGUGUUCGCGAAGAUUUCAGGAAGAUUCGUAUCAAAAGUGUUUAGUGCGCUCGUCUAUCGAGAAACAUCGAUUAGAAACAUCGAACCAAGUCGGGAAUAUGUAAAUUGGCGAGCCAAAAUCCAACCCGAAGAAUCUCGUAAUAUCCUCGUUCUUUCUGUUUAACGCUUCAUUUUUUCCUUUUUUUUUUUCUAGAGUUUCACAUAAAAAUUAAACUCCUCAAUUUUUGAAAUAGAAGAAUGAUUUAAAGAUAAGAUAAUCCAAUCAACUUAAAACUCAAAAACAAAAUUGUUAAAUUAUCGAAUAACGAAAGAGAUGUCCUUCUUUUUUCCACCACACGAAGUGAAAAUAAAAAAUUCUCCCCCGAUGCGAAAAGAAUAAAACUGCCUAAAGAUAAAAGAAAAAGAGAGAAAAAGAAUUCGCACUGUAUCGCCUGUACUCGCUCGUAACUCUAUCAAAAUCGAGGACUCCCCAUCGGCGAUCGACCGUAUCGGAAACAAGAGGAAACAAAGGAGGUAGCCUCGUUGUUCCGGAAAAUUCCAGUCCAAUUUUCUUCUCUGGAAAACAAAACCUUAAUAUCACUCCAAAAAAAAAAAACAGAGAAAACACGAACGGGAGGAGGAAAAAAGAGAGAGAUAGAGAGAGGGUGGAAAAAACAGGGUGGAUAAAAUCAAAAGCAGCGUUCCGCUGUUUGCACGCAUCCAGGUUAAACGAGGAUCAGUCUCGCGCACGAUCAUCCAAGCAGGACGAUUGACCGAGGGUUGGGCUUGGUUACGGGCGUGGUGCACACGAUAAAAAUGGCGCUACGAGGCGGCGAGGGUGGCCUCUUUUAUUCUCGCAUAAAUGCCGCGUGUGCGAUGCACCCCCCCAACAGACCGCCCCGGUUUACUCUCCCGAAAAACACCGUUCACCUCACUCCCCCCUCCCCCACUUCUUCUCCUGUGCCAUUCUUCCUCGUGUAUCGCGGACUCACCCUCACCCCUCGAUGCCGCUACCCUUUUUCGUGAUUGGGAGGCACGAAUUUCCCGGUUUAACCCCCGGCCCCGGGGUUAUUAUGCGACAGAGCCGGGAUAGAUGGAUGGCACGAGAAUGGUUUCAGGAUUGUCAGAGGGCACGUCGACGACAGAUCGAAAGAUUUUCGAGGGUUUCGUGGUUCCUGGCGUGACACUCACGAAGGACUUUGGAUUGUUAUGGAUGUGUAAUGACUUUGGACGAAUGAAUGAGAUUGAUUUUGAUUCAUUUCGAUGUAUAGUCUUCGGUUUCCGAGAUAAUUAAUUUUAGUUGAUGGGAGGAGGGAUUAUUUGGGAACAGUGAUACUUUCGCGAAUUCGGAUUGGAUUGAAUGCAGUAAACAAAAGACGAAUAAUUCUUUCCGUAGCAAUAAUUCCUAAUUUUUUAAUUAUUUAUGCUGCUUAUAUAUUGUUUAAUUUUUAAUUUUUCGUCAAUGUUAUCCUGCAAUUAGCUGUAUCGUUUGUAAACUCAAAAUAAUAUCAAACGAAAGGAAAUAUCGGUGGAUCAAUCGUGGAUAGAAAUUCAUCUCGAUGGGAUCCCUUAUUUCAUCCCGAAGUACUUGGCAACGGGGGUUGCUCGUUGGUAAGGACUCGUAAAGAGAUUGACAGACGCUUCGUGCAAGAUUUUACGUUAAACGUGACGUCUUUCCACGGUGCGAAUGGCAGCGAUCGUUUGAAAUAUUCAGAAUGUUACGAGAGCCGACGUUUGUACGUAUACGCGAAUGGAUAAAGGGAGAGAAGAUUCGGAGAACAUUUGCUUAAUUAUAACGUAUAUGAAUAGAUGAUAACGAGGCGGAUAAUCGCGAAGAGGUUGAUCUCAAGCAAGAAAGGAUACACGAAUUAUAAUACCACGAGAUAUGAUAAUUUAGAAUUUAGCGAUUUUAAAAUUCUACAAUAAAAUGUAUAUUGUUAUCUACAUUUUUUUUUCCUCUGAUAAGAAAAUUUUCUUAUCGUCAUUCCGACAAAAAACUACAUCUACUUUCGACUAAUUUACAGAACAGUAAUUACUCCAAAUAAAAUAAUCAUUUAUCCGAUUAUUAUUAAUUAAUUUAAGCCGAUUUCAAAGAAUUUCUUUUAUCGUUGCUUAUACGCUAAUUAUUUCUAUCGUUGCUGCCGACGUUAAACUUGUGAAUUUUUUCGUUGACGCUAAUCUUCAGAAUCGUCGAUUGGAUAAGUAACGAUCUCUAUCGAAGAGAGUCGUGCCACUGACGCGGUUUAAUCUCGCUUUUCAAAGGCCACUCUUGAGGCUGUCAUAACAACAAGCCGAAUAGGGGAUGCGUAGGAAGGUGCAAUCAAUAAUUAAAUAAACGACGAAGGUCGCUUCGAAGCCCGACGAUUGUUGGCGUGAUGGGCCUAAUGGGCGAGCGUUAUGGGGUUUCGACGCCAGAGGGACCGGAAAUUAUUUGUUUCUUCUUCGUCUCUGACGAAACUACCCGUCAUUGUCCCUCCCUUUCGCGACACUCUUGACUUUAUGUACAAGAUUCUUCGAUCAUUCGUUACUUUCUAGAAGAUACAUUAACGAUCGAGAUUUGUUUGAGAAAAAUUUCCAAUGUAAAUAAAUUUUUAAUUGAAAUUGAAGGAAUUUCGUAAGAUUAAAUCUGAGAGAUUCGAAGUUUGAUAUAUAUAUGUGUGUGUGCGACACGUGUCUAUUUUCCAUUGGUCUCUCAAUUAUAAUAUCUACAGAAUAAAACUGUCGGAAUAAGUCUGCAAUAGAUCAAUUUUUUAAAAAAAAUUAUUGGAAAUUGCUUAUUUUAUCCGUAAAUUUUUCUCUUCUAUUUUUCUAUUUUAUUAACUGGAAUAUUUUUUAAAAAUAUUCACUCAUCGAAUCUUUCCAAAAGCACCAAGAAACAAACUUUUCUCUUCGUGGAAAAAUAUUCCAUUAUCCUUACAUCUCUGGAAAAAAAAAAUCCCCCCGAAAAACAGUGUCAUUCGCAACUCUCAUCCCUCUGGACGGAUUACAAUUCCGCUCAUUGCCUCGCAACGCGCCAUUCAUCGGCGCGAGACACCUCGUGCGGUCAAUUCACGGGAAAAAAACGAGUGCCGAGAUGAAAAAAAAAGAGGAGGGGAUGGGGAGAAAAAAAAAUCGGGGUUAGGCAGUCGAUGGGCGGGCGUGUAAAGCGCCCUCUAACAAUUCCAUUUCCGCACGCGAUAAACCGUACGAUCGCGGCCAACGCAGUAAACCGAUCGAACCGGAUGUUCCAGCUUGGCGAUCCCGCAUUGAAAUUUUUACGCGUGUCCUCGAAACCGAUCUCCCUUUCUACCUGCCCGCGUUUUUCGAUUAUCCUGCUGCAUUUUUCUGAAUCAUUUCAUUUUCAUAACCGAUCGAUGACCUCCUCCAUUCCAAAGAAUCAUCUAUGAUCGUGCGAAAUUUUCGGUACGAAAUCGAUGUUGCAUUUUCUAUAUACAUCAUCCCUUUGAUAAGAUUAACGAACCACGUUUGAAGAUCUUUCGAUUAAAUCUCCAAUUGAUAUUAAAAAAAAAAUCGUUAACAAUACGUUAAAUAAGGAAUACUCGCGUAACCAAUUCCAGCUUAAAUAUUCAUAACAGAAAUAUAUGUAUGUGUCGUCGACGAACAGGCGUACCAACACCGAUAGACAGAUAAAUAGAUAGAUAGAGAGAGAGAGAGAGGUGAUAGCGGAAGAAAGGAGAUAGGCGCGGGCACGAUGUGUAGCGGAGCAUUCGGGGAAGGGUGGGAUGAGGAUGCAAUUGCAUCGGCCACACCGUCACGUAGCCACGUUUACGUGGAUGCCGGUAGACACGUAUAAUGGCAGUGCGCGCAUCGUCGAUAGUUAUUGCUUUGUUAUUGGGCCGCCUGACGCGCGCCCGGCCGGCACCCAAUGUUGGAUUUCCCUUUAUUGGAAAUUUCCCGCGCCCCACUUCUCCCGAUUUCCCGCCCGCAAAUAUAACGGGCGAGCCGUCACGCGUGCGAUUUCACCCCUUCCGCCCUCGAUUCGCCCUCUCUCGCCUCGCUUUCCUUUUUCUCGAAUCCAAUCCUGUCGAUUCGACCGAUGCCCGACGUCCUUUUGAUUUCGUUCGAAAGGGGAGGAAGGCAGGGAGACGGGGGUGGUGGUGGUUUCGUGGUGCAUAGGCGCGAAUUGGAAUGAAGUUAGAUUGGUCGUCCGGCAAGUUAUUUUUUUCGAUAUUUUCGGAUGAUGGAUUCGGAUGGUGGAUGUCUUUGACGAGUUUCCCCGUGAGUUUCUUCUUUUUUCUUUUCUUUUUUGCCUAAUUUGUUGUUUGAAAUUGGACGGAUCUUUUUUCUUUUUUUGGAUUUAUUAUGAGAUGUAUAAGGAAUUAUUUUGUUUCAAAGUUUUCAGGUUUUAGAAAUAGUUUUGAAUAUAUAUAUAUAUAUAUUAUAUUUUUAACACGGAUAAUAAGAUUAAUUUAUUAUAAUAUGAUUAAUCUUAAUUGGAUGAAUAAAAUAAUAAGUAUAUUCCCCGAAGAUACUCGAAAAUUAGUUAGUAAUUGACAUAUUAACAUGCUGACGUAAGUGUUAUUUAUAGUUUAAAGAGAAAGGUCAGGGAGGUUUUCUUUUAUCUAUUUCAAUUAAUAAUAAUAAUAAUGACGUGAACCGUAAACGUCCAUUUCUUCAUUUUUAUAAUUAAAAUUGAUCCAGAUAAGAAAGAAAACUGGAACAAUAAAAUUUAAAUUUAAUUAACGUAACAAUACUAUAAACAUUAAUGAUAUAAUUUGUUAAAGUAAACAAAAUCAUUAUCAUUAUAGUCCCUAAUUCACUUAAAUUCACGGAGAAUUAAUUUCAAUUCUCUAAAUCGAGUUGAUCAUCGAGCUUCUCGAGUAAAUAAUUCUCAAUUCAAAUUUUUCAAAUCGUACCAUAUCUUAUUCCAUCGAAAAUCAAUCCGGAUCGAAAACGACUGAACGUUGAUUUCCUCCAUUUUUGGAGGAGAAUCUUUCGACCGAUCCAAUCACCGAUGCAACGAAGGAGAGGGUGGGGUUGCACGUGGCUUAAUUGAUUCGAUUUCGAGGGGUUUUCAUCCCACUUUUCGCUUCGUACGACCCUGCAUCCCUGUAUCAACGCGCCCUUUCCUCCCUCCAUCACGUAGGUUUCCCCUACGGUUUUCGAAAAGGUCGAAGGAUCGAAGGGUUCGAGGUUUAACGGAUCACAGGUCUCCAUCUUGCCGAUUCUUUCGACGUUUUCUUUUUUUCUUUUCUUUUUUGUUUUUUUCUUUUGCGUCGAAGAUGCAACUCGAAGGAUUCGAUGUCGUCAUACGAGACACUGUCAUCCGAUAACGAUAAUCGAGUCGCGUUUACGGACGCGGAUAUCGUUUCAUCGUUACGUCAUUUACGUUCGAUCAUGCCUUGUGGCCUCUGGUUCCGGAUAACCUCUCUUCGCGAGGAGAAUUAAGAAAUUGCAACACGAUCGUGCUUGUUUAUUCACCCAAAAUAUUUUUAUAUUUGAUGAUCUCUCUUCUUCUCUCCCCCUCUCCCCUCCCCUUUUUUCAAUACGAUUGUACGAUAAUGAGUCUCGCGUUAUCCGUUUCUGGUUUGUCGAUAAUGCGCGUGUCUAUUUUUAACGCGCGCGCCAUGUUUCUUCUUUAUCUUCUGGCCGCGUGCGUGUGAGUGUAAAGAAUUCUUAGAAUUAAAGCAUUGAUACGAAUAAUUGACCCUUGUGCUAUUUGUUCUCGAUUCGCAUAAAAAUUGUAAAGUAUUAUUACACAAUAUACAUAAGAACAUAGAAGACAGAAUUAUAAUUGUAAAAUAGUCUGAAUUUAUUUAUUUUGGAGAAGUAAUUUUUUUUUUUUCCUUCUUUUCAAAAAUCAAGAAUUUUUUAAUAUUCAUUCGCGCGUUAACGCGCUCGAAACUCUCGAUCGAAUCGUGUUCAUUUAAAUGCACGAACACGGGAAACGUUAUCGCGCGAUUUCAAAAAAAGAAAAAAAAGAGAAAAGAAAAAAGAAAGAAAGAGGGGAAAAAAAAUCAAAGUUUCCUGCAGCGUUUUCAAGAAAUAAAGGAAACCACGUAGCGGAAGAAGCUCAUUAGGUCUUCUUCGUGGUAUCUUCUCUCGUGUAUAUUCUUUAUUAAAUGUUUCUCGUUAGUGGUUCAUAGUGGUAAUCCUUCGAAAGUGUGACUCACGGGCGGAAGUAUGAUUCAUGGAUCCGUCUGGUUGCAAAAUCGGCGCGAAAGCGAUUUUUCUUCCGGCGGCCGACCAGGCAAAAUUAUAUCUCGGCGUGAAAAUAUAUUCGCGUGACAUCAUCGCGCAUUUGUAAUUUCAUUCGCCUCCCCCCCUCCCCUUUCUGAUUCCGGGCCUCGUUCACGUUGAAUGAAAACCGCGACGGCGCAACAACCGCAGCCGCGAAAUUUUGCCAGAGGACUGCGUUGCGCAACGAAGCCCAAGUUGCACAACCGAAAUUCGCGAAAUGAAACAUCCAUUUCCCAACGGGCCGAUAUCGAAGCCGCGGUUUAAACUUGCCAUUCCUCGCGACUCCUCGUUGCAACAGAGUCUUCCGUAACCGAUUUUACGAUGCAAAUCAUUUCUAUUUAUAAGCGGGGAAAAUUGGAUAAGCUCGCGCCCCAUUUUGUGCGAUAUUAUUUGUAUUCUGUAUCUCUGCAACAAUUUGCGGUAACAUUGUAAAUUGGCUCUUCUCGCGAGGGAUUGGAUUGUUUUUAAUAUAUCUUUUUGAUAGUUACUAUUUGUUUUCGCGAGAUUAAAUUCUCGAAUUCUUUCGUAGAAUUAUUUUAUUCGUUCGUUUCUGAAUAAUUUUUCAAAUCAAAUUAGGUAAGAAUAGCUGAUGAAAAUAUUUAAUUAAUUGUAAGUAAUUUCUUCUCUCGAAGAAGGAAGAAUCGAGGCAAUAAUGGGCAAAAGUAUAAGUCAUAGAUCGUUCGUUUCGCAAAGAACUGGAGAAACUACUCCUUGAAUUUUUGAGUAAUAAUUAAGUAACGAGAAAGAGCGUAAUUAAUUGGAAAUCGUUAUUUUUUUUUUUAAGAAUUAUUCAAUAGAAUGAUUUUUAAGCAAUGGUUAGAAGAAAUUAAUCUACAGAUAUUACAAUUUUAAUUAGAUCGAUUAUUAGUGGAGUAACAAAUUACUUGUUUGUUUAGAAAUAUGACACGAAUCUUAUUCGAAAUCAGAAAAUCCAAUUCUAAAAUCCAAUUUACACGUUCCGCUAUUAAAACAUUCACAUUGAAUCCUCUCGGCCAAUUUUUCAUCCCUUCCAACACCUCGUACCCGCCAAAUCUUCCAAUAUUCCCGACAAAUUCCCUUGUAACUCUUUAUACAAGGAGCAGGAACAAAGGAGAGAAAGGUAAGAUCCACUCUUAAGAACCAUCCUUCCAAUCCAGCAAAAAAAAAAAAAAAAAGAAGAAAAAGUGGGAAAGGAAAGAGAGAAAAGAACAGGCCACGAACGGUGUUGCAGGCAGAGAGUUGAAGGAGUAAUUUUCAAUAUCCACCUUAUUAGCCCGGAAUAAUAUCUCGUCCCAAGAGUUUCCCUCCCCCGGAUUACACGCUCGCUCGUUUCCAUCGGCAGAGCGUUGGCCGCCUCUAAUACAGGGCUGCCACUCGAAACGAAAUCUUAUCCAUAUUUCGUAUACUGGGGAGGGGAGGGGAGUGGUGGACGAGUCGCGGGGGGAUCUCUGCGAGGGUGUGGAGGAAUCCGCGCCGAGGGUUUCCUCCCUUCGAACGAUGCCUCUUUACGACCACGUAGGCGUUUUUACGCGCCCGUCCUCGAACUCGUCCCAGUAUUAAAAUUCUGUUUUACUGUCGACGUGGACAUUGCCAUUGUGCGCACGCUCGUCACAUAAAAAUUUGAUCAUUUCAUGAAACGGAAUAACUAUUUAUAAAAAAAGGGUUUCUUCGAAAGGAUUAGAUUUACUACGAGGAUAUAAAUAAUACAAAUUUAAUCAAAGAUAUAUAUAUAUAUGUACAUUGAUUAUACUCUGGUCGAAGAUCGAUGAAAGAUUCGUGUAAUAGAAUACAAAGUUUCGCAAUUUCUCGAGGAAGAGGAAGGUGGAAGCUCGGACCACUCGUCAUCCUGUCCUCGUCGAAGAGUUUUCCUCGACAAGUUUGAUUGCCGCGAAGCGUCGGCGGAUGUCAGCGUUUGGUUCGUAAGAGAUGAACGAGCCACGGUUGAAAAGCGAUUCGAACAAGGGGCGUUUCGUGCAUCCCGUGUACAUCUCGUUCUAGCUUCGCUCUUCCAUCGUCCCUCCUUCUUUCCGCUCUUUGCAAGAGUGGGAGACUCGAGGGGGUCGUUCGUUUUGAUAGGGCGCUCACCGCUCGAGUGGCCUUGGCAAUAAAUUGCGAAUCAUUUCUUUUUUCUUUUCUCUUUUUUUCCAAGGUCGCUGACUUGGGGAACGGUGAACGUGCACGGAAUACAUACUUCCAACAAUUUCCUCCUUUCCCCCGUUCGUAAAAACAAUCCUAGAUUAAUUUUCAACAAGAUUCAAUUUUAGAUUUUUUAGACAAUUUUAGAAUUUCUCCAUUUCCAAAAUACGUAUAUCCAUAAUUCAACGAAGCGACGAAACCUUGGCAAAACUUCGAAUUUCACGAGGAGGAGGAGGACGAGGGGGGCGAAUCGGACACGAAGUUGGACCGAUUCGAGGGUCGACGAUCGGAAACAUUCGCCCAGCUACCAUUCCACGGAUCGGUCCGUCCCAUUUCGCGAUUGCCCACGGUCCCUCUCCUCUUAUCCGACGUUUCCUCGUCGGUAGGGCGCGAUGCCUCUCGUAACACGGAGCAAUUUCGUUGGGGGAGGGGGAGGGGGCCGAGCGAGCACCUUGCUAUUCACCUUGAAACCGGUCCGGCUCCUCCGUCCGGAGGCCGGAUCCCCGCCCGAUCGGAUCGAAUCUUCGUGUCCGAUCUCUCGUUCACCCGCAAACGAGCCCCCUCCCCCCUCCCCCUCCCCCUAUACGCCGGGGCGCGGGGAUGCGAGAAUGAUUCGCGAGUACCCGUGUUUACUUGCCGAGUCAUCUUCUAAAUUGUAGCGUGUUACGGGGCCGUGUGUCGGAUCUCGGAUCGAUAUUGCGAUAAAAAGACGGGGGAAAACAUUAUUGGCCGGCGGGCAGAGAGAGGCGAGUUCAAGUAGCCGUGAGCGGACCCGAUAUCUCCUAUUCUUCCCCCUUCGUUCGCUCCUUUUCAUUCGCUGCGCCGCGCGGAAAUAUCACGAGAGAGAUACCAAUACACGAUACCUGUGCGUAAUUGGAUCGGUAAAUUGGAUUCUAAUUAACCGUGACUCUGAUCGAUAUUAAGGAGGGAGGGGAUGUUCCCUUCGAGACGGAGAAAUUUUGAAAUCGGUUUAGAUCCGUUUUGGUAUUGAAAUUUGAAAGAUAUUUGAAAAAGUGAAGUGGUAAAUUAUAAUAAGUAAUUGAAUUGUUUCUUUUUUUUUUUUCAUGUAGAUAAAUAUGGUAGUUGAUAGACAUGUGGAGAAUUUUAAAUUUGUUAGACGAUAUAUUUUUUAAAAGAUUUCUAAUUAAUCAUUUUCCUUCGAGACGAAGAAAUUGUACAGUUGAUUCGAUAUUUCAAGUAUAUGGUUUUUCUUAAUAUCUAUUUCGAAACAGAGUUUACAUAUUCUCUCUCAAAGAAGCCAAAAAUUAAUUCUUGAAUAGGAAUUUGCAAACUGCAGAUUACAACAUAUCAAAAUAAUAAAUCAAAAUCGCGUUAUUUUUUCUCAAAGUAUCUUUAUCGUUUUUAAAAUUCAAUAACAGCUCAAAUUGGACAUCUUACCGCUUGAUCUUAUUCGUGAUAUUAUCGCGAUAAAACGCGAUUCUCAAACGUGCAUCACAGUUCCGUUCCAUUCGAUCGAAAAGUUUGGUUUCAAGCAGAAGAGGAGAAACGGCGAAGAGGGCCCUCUCUCGUCCGCAAGAGAGGGAGAGAUCGGCCGGUCGCGAUACAUAAUGCCGCUGGCAUGACAAGGCGAGAGCAAUUAGAUGUCGCCGGAUGCAGCUGCAGGCGAUUGCGUCAUCAGAGUUACUUUGCAACCUUGAUCUCUCCGGAGGGGUCUCCGUUUCCCUGUCCCCUCCCCACCACCAAGCCUUCCUCUGCCGGUCCCAACCGCCUCCUUCUUAUUCUUCCUGUUCUUCUUCAUCAUCAUCAUCUUCUUCUUCUUCUGCUUCUUCUUCUUCUUCUUUUUCGUUUUCUUUUUUUAUUAUUAUUACACUUACACUGCCCCCUUCGAUGACGUUUCUCGCGUUUUCUCGUUUUAGAUGCGGGACGGUUGAUAGAAGUAGGAAGAGAAUGAUGAUUGGUCGAUGGAAUUUAACGAUUAUAAGUUAAGUUGGUUUUUUUCUUUUUUCUUUUUUUUUAAGUUUGUUGCUUCUCCUCUCCGUGGUUACGAGUUGGAUCCCCGGGUGGGAGAUAAUUAAUGCGGAGGAAUAAUUAGUUGCCGUGUCCAGUAUCCAGUUUUAGAAUAUUUAGAAUAUAGGAUCCAGUAAUGAUAAAAAUUUUUCUCGUUGAAAUAAAUAUCUUCUUCCUCUUCCUUAUUUCAUUUUUGAUCUUCGUUACUUGUCUUUCGAACGAUGUUUUCCCUGUUUUAGUGCUUUUUUUUUAGUAAAGAAAAAGUUGGAUGAGAUGGAAAGAGAAAGAGGGUGAUGACUGGUUAAUAGAAUUUAAUGAUUUUUUUCUUCUUUUUUUCUUUUCUUUUUUUUCUUUUUUUUUCUCUCUCACGAUGAUUCUUGGUUGUGCGAGUUGGAUCUUCAAGUGAGAGGAACAAUAUAAUAUAUAUAUAUUUAAUUUACGCGUUUCGUGUAAUAUCUUUAUUCGAGUCUUCGUUUCACGAUAUAUUUUUACCAAUUUGUUUUCUUAGAAAUUCUUUGAGAUAAAGAAUAAUUAAACACAUCAAGAUUUUCCAAAUGUUUAACAUUUAUAUACCUUACAUUAUUACACGAAUGUUCGUACUUUUAUCACUUUCUUCUAAAGAUUUCGUCUUUCAAUGAGCAAUGAAACGAGAAAGAAAAAAAUAACCGAAACAAAGAGGAGGGGAGAGUCCAUCCAUUCUUUAUCAAGUGUGAAACGAAACAACGUGUUCGAGCACACGAAUCGUCAAAAUUCCAUCCCAAACAAUAGGUUGUUCAUUUUCUCGGGCACCUGCGCGUGUCUGUCGGAAACUUGGCGCGUAAAAUAGAAUUAACUCGUAAAUCUGGGGGUCCGGUGGCGUGACCCGGAAGCGGCCAUCCACUUCGUAUAAUUCAGACGCCUAUUACGCGAACGGCCGUUAAACAUCUCCCUAUCAUAACGUAUCUAACGCUCGAUACAGGAGAACAGGUGUGAUCCUCGCGAGAUAUCACCGACGCCUUUCGACCCCCACUCCUCUCGUUCUCGAUUUUCCAACCGAGUUGGAAACAAAGGCAAAAACGUGCGACCAAACGAACGAAUCGGCCCGCUUUUUGCCCGAUCCUCGGUGUGUGUCGUGAUUCUCCCGGCUGAAUCGUGGGACUCGUUAAACCGUUCCUUCGUUCAGGUUAAUUAUCCUUCCACACAGGGCCUCGUGUGUUUAUCCUUGGAGAUUUUCUUGCCCGCUCGAGGGAAAAAGAGGAACGCCCACUGGGAUGACUAGAUUAUCCUCGUCUCUAUCGGGAGGCACGAACUGUGUGUCGAUUUCUCUUGGACCCACUACUUCUUCUGUAAAACUCCAUACAAGAUUCAUUCGAUGUAUUCCAAUCAAAUUUUUAUCGUAACUUAAAAAUGUCUCCUCGUAUAUUUCUUUUCUCGCGUUAUUUCAUAAAAGAAAUUUAUAAUUCGAAUUCGAAAAGAUUACCCCUCGUGUUAAAUUUAAAAGAAUAAAUUAAGUUAGAUUAAGCCAAAACUGUAGAUGUAAAUGAUCGAAAUCGGGAUAGAAAUACUUGGAUAGAAAAUUUUAACGAGAUCGAUUAGUUUGGGUUGCUUCAAAGAUUCCUCGGCCCACUUAAGAAUGCAUAAUUUUUAAUUCGGAUACAGCAGGGUUGGUUACAAAAUUUCUCGCUAGGACCUCUCUCUAGUCCCCUCGCGUAGGCGUGAAUCCGUAUAAGGCAGAGAGAAAGAACACGUUCCAAUCACGAUUUUGAAUUCCUCGCGGUUGCCCAACAGGCUUGUUAUUCCCAUUGAAUGACCUUUUAAACUAACAUUAUUGAUGUAACAUCCCGUUAACGUUAUCUGAACGACAAUAGAGACGAACAGUUUUUCUAACAGUUUCUUCUCGAGCACCCGACCCACGUUAUUCAAUUUUACGACUACUUUUUUUUUUUUUUUUAAGGAUCCUCGACUUCUUUAUCUUACUGGUAGGUAGUUAAGAGAGACUAGAUAGAUGGCGCUCGAUGAUCUCUCCGCUUUCGUCAUCGAGUCGAUUCUGACUUGGAAGCGAUUCGCGAGGGGAGGAGGGGAUGCGAGUCGAGUUUUCUUGAAGGAAGGAAGGAGAAAAAGUUCCCACGGAGAACUGCGGAAGAGGGACGUGCAGCACUUUCGGGAGCACGUGUAACAGCUUCGAGUUAAAACCGAUUCCACACAUGGCCGAAGCUGUUUCGUGGUUCCUCCGUUUUCAGAUGCGUGCAUGCGUGCUCCUUCGUUAUGCAAGCGCGACUGUUAGACAUCUGUUUGACGUGUUUGUUAGGCCAGUGCAUUUUGGAGGGGAGGGUGAGACGAAGACGAAUUUGAUCGUGAAUAUCUCACGAGAUUGGUGUUGUUUCGGAGGAGAGAUAAUUUUUCGAACGAGAAAACAUUUUGAUCCUUUUGUGGUUUGAGGUUAUUUUGAGAUACAGUUUCAAAGAAAUUCAAAAAUAAUACAUCAUUAUUGGAUUCUUAAAUUUGAAGUAACAAUAAUUUUAUAGCUGAUGGAAUAGUUAAUGCUUUUUUUACUGAACAGUUUCAAGAUAUAAAAUAGAAACUUGUUCCACAUAUUUUCGGUAAUAUCCUUGUCGAGGGCAAGGAAAACGGAGAAAGCGUUAAUCUUUCCUCGCUAGAAGGAAUGCAGUCAAUCUGCAUUCUGUUUGACUUGAUUGGUUCAGCGGGAGUCCAUUGCCGCCAACUGCUUUGAAUAAUUAACCGAACACCGUCGAUUCUCCUAUUGGUCUCACUCGAGAAAACAAUAAAAAAAAAAAGAAAAUGAAUAAUUCCUUCAUCUAUCUACAAUUCUCCAAAAUAAGGAGAGGGGAAACUUGUUUGUUUCAAAAGAAAUUAAAAUUUCCAGCCUUAAAAUAAUUUUCCAAGAAACAGCAUUAGAACAGUAUGCAUGUCAAUGGACAAAAAUUAUCGUCGAUAAUUCACUCGUUACAUAUUUAUGAAAAAUGUCAUUAUAAAAUAGCAAUGCAAAGUUUGAUCGAGUAACAAUAAUUUUAUCGAAAAGAUAUCGAUAUCCUCUAUUUUCGAUCUUUUAUUUUUCACUCUACUCUUAUCAUUUUUAAUGCAAAGCGAAAAAAAAAAAAGACAAAGAAAAGACACGUGCGACGUGACGGCGAUAAACGAAACGAUUUUAUGUAAAUUUUAAUCGUCCAACAACAGUGAUAUCAUUCGACUGAUUCACUGGUGAUCACGUUGAUCGGGCUAAUGCAUUUAAGUGCGAGGCAACCGACGGCCUGUACUAUUAAUCGUCCGGUAAUCGAAUCGCUCAAUUGACUCGAUUUUCCUUUGAACGCCGGAUCGUCUAUUGUGCACCGCCUUCUCUUCCUCGGGUUCAUCGAAGGUGCGCCACGCGAUUUAUCCCGUCACGGUGAUAUAUAACCGUGUUAUUAGUUCGAUUUUUGAGGAAAUCCGUGCAUUUCUUCGUUUCUUUUCUUUUUUUUCUAUUUUUUUUUUUUUUUUUAAUUUUAAUUUUUCUCGAGCCUCGUACAUUAAGCGUUAUAUUGUUUCUUGUUUCCUUGAAAUGGUCAUUAAAGGAUUAAGUGAGCGACACGUGUAUUGUUACUGUGGCAUUUAAGAACGCGUUCCUUUUUUUUUUUUUUUUUCAAGUUUUAUAUUUUAUCGUUUCGCUUGUUUUCUCGAAGUGGUUAUGACCGAUUAAGUCAGUGAUAUAGAAUGUAAAAUGGAAAUGAAAUGACUGUGAUUCUUUUUAUUUUUUGAAAGAAAAAUAACGAAGAACAAAUUUCGGCGAUUCUUCGAAACGAAGUUCUUCCAUUGUGAAAAGCGAAUACUUAUCGUGAGUAGAAUUUAAAUAAUUUAAAAAAAUAUCUUUUCCUCUAUCAAUUUCCCAAUUUUAAUACCGAUUUUCCGAACCUAAACUAAACUUUCAAAAAAAGAAAAAACUUAAUGUAUGCUUUCAUUAAUUUAAUGUAUCAAAAACAGAUAAAAAAUAUCCAUCAAAUUUCGCGAAAUUUGAAUCAAUCAUUGUUAUUACAAAAACCAUAGAAGCCAUAUCAAAGAAAAAGAAUCUACUUAUGCACCAAUAACGUUCGAUUAUAAAACUUCCAAUACUCUUUCCAACGAGCACGCUACGAUAUUCGCUCGAAGUGAAAAAUAAAAAUGGAAAAGAGUGAAAAAAAGACGUGCGUUUUUCCCACUACUAUAGGUAGCAGCACGAUCUCGAUCACGCUCGAUCCCGAUCACCGCCGAUCCACGCCGUCUCUCCUUCCUGUCCCGUCUCCCUUUCCUCGACGUCUUCUUCGUCUUCUUCCUCUCGGACAUCGUGUCAUUCUUCACCGCCAGGGGCGUCAGUGUCGCCGGUGGACUCGGAAGAAGGAGGGGAAAUCAGAGGGCCGUGUGUGUCUUCGCCGUGUGUGUUUCUAUCCGGUGCCCCUCGAGACUCUUCAGUGCUUCGCGGGCCUUCGUGGCGAGCAGGUUUCGAUGAUUUCGGUUUCCACUCUUCGAUUCCCUCCUAUUCCACGACAUUCCAUCUCUCUCUCUCUUUUUUUCUCCAUUUUUAGAUUCCAGAUUCCUCAAAACCCUCCAUCACGAUCAAUCGAAUUCGUUUUUCCAGUUCGUCAUUGAAAACUGUUAUCUACGUUAUCCCAGGUUCGCGAUUCGUGGGACACGUGUCGAACGAUCUUCCUCCCGAUCGAGUAGAAGAAAAAAAAUCGAUUAUUAUCGGUCUUCGAUUGAGAACGGUAUCGUGUAGAUAGAUAUCGUCGAAGAUGGAAAAGAACUCUAUUCUUUUUUUUAGUUUGGUAAAAAAAAGUGUUAAUAAAAGCCGAUUAUUAUUUAUUAUAUUGUACAAAGAAAGAAGUGCGAGGGAAAAUAAUUAUUAAUGUAAAAAGAACAAGUGUUGACGAAAGUGGUUCGCGACGGUUCACUGUGAUAAUGGGAGCACGAUCGAAUUUCUUUGAAGUGAAAAAAAAAAGAAGAAGAAGAAGAAGAAAAGAGUGUGAUCCGAAAAAGUGUGUUCAAGUGUGUUCAAGGAAGAAGAGAAGGGAAAAAAUGUGUGAAUCGAAGUGAAGAGAAGAGAUCCGCAGUGCGUCGAAGAAGUGGAGGAACACGGGGGAAUCGAUGUAAGGGGUAUCGACAGGGGAGAAAAGUACGAAUCCUUCGAAUCGGUACGAUGCAUGCACGUACUCAUAUAUGGUAGAGAUCCAGCAGCGAGGUAUAGAGUUCCUACGUAGUGUUCAGAAAGUAGGAACUUCAUACCGUGCUCUUGGACUUGCCGAAAGAUCGUCGAAUUUUGUGUGUAUAUAUAUAUAUGUACAUAUAUAUACGUAUAUAUAUAUAAUACGUAUAAAUGUAACUAUACACGGUGUGGGGAGUGAUCGAGACGAGGCGAUGCUCGUUGGGGAUCGAUGAUGGAAAAGUACCAGCGGACGCAGCCAGAGAAGGCACCGAUAAGAACUGGGGAUUUAUCAGCGAUCGCUCGGCCAGACGACCAACUGCAGGAUGCUGAUUUUGUCGAAGUAAGUCACGUUCGAAUUCGAAAAACCUCGCCUUUUCCCGCGAACAAUCGGCUCAUGGAUCGGUUGAUUGGAGAUCGUGUCGGCUCAUUCCGAUUUCCUUCCAAUUAAUCCUCCUAAGAAGAACUUUUGGAACGGAGUUCUGAAGAAUAGAUGUUCGUUGAAUUUUAUUAUUUCUUUUUUUUAUUCUGCUCUUAAUGAGAAUUGGAGUGUAGUAAAAAAGGUGAUGGAUAGUUGAUUGAAGAUUCACGUUGAAACGAUGUGAAUUUAAUACUUGAAUAUAAUUGAGUAAAAUGAUUGGAUUGAUAUAUGUUUAAUAUAAUAUGUAACAUUCGAGAUCGGUAAAUAAAUGUGAAAAAUUGAGAAAUAUAAUAAGAAUUCGACCAUCUCAUCUGCAACUCGAUAUUCUUUGAUUUGUUAUUUUUAAAUGAUCGGUUAGAGUCAAAAAAUAAAACUAACUCGUGACGUAUCAAUAAAAUUAACAGAAAGAAAUUGACAGAAUUUAGAGAGAUCGAAGUGACAUUGAUUUUUUUGAAAGUCUUAAUACAAUACACGAGUUCGAUAAUCUAAAGAACUCGUUUCUUCGUGCUAAUCGAAUAAUCUAAAAUAUUGUUUUGAAAACGUGUAUCUUUAAAGAGGUUUGCAUUAAAAACUCUACGAGACACUCGUGCAAAUACGAUUUGAAGAAAAGAGAAGGAAAAAAAAUUGGAAUCGGUAUCGGUGGAAUAUGUAUGUCUAAAAAUAGUAAUGCUAAAGUUUCUCGGUUAGCAACCGCAUAUGCGAAUCCGAGUUUCGUUCCAACCAGAGGAUAACGAACCUUUUUUUCUUUUUUAUUUCCCAAUUUUUCAAAUAAUAGUAAACGCGAUUUUUUUUUCUUUCUUCUUCGUCGAAAACGAAUAACCGAGGAAUAUACGAUUGGAUUGAUCGGAGCACAAGGAUGAAUAUGAAUAUGAUCCGAAAGUAGACUCGAAUUAUUUUCGUCGAGUCGUUCGAUACGCUUCGAAGGUGUGAGAAAUUCAAAGACGAAACCGUUACGAUUAAUAAUUAGUGACUAAUUAUCGAUUCGUCGCGUCACCUGACUGUGCACCAUAUGACCCUCCACUUUUACGCAAGCACCACGAAAUCGAAGCCAUUUUGCGCAUCGAGCCGAUCGUUCCAUUAACCGAUUUAUUUAACGUAGGAAUAAAAAAACGAAUUUGAAAUUGUUUAAAUUAUCGUCUUGCAAAAUGUAUUCAUAUAUAUAUUUAUAGUCAGUGAUUCUCGGUCAUUUAUUCGGGAAUUGAUCGUAUAAGAAUAGAUGUGUGUAUUAUGGAUGUGCAUUGUGGAUAAAAAAAAUUGGAACUAUUUUUUCUUUCUUUUUUUUUUUUUUUUGAAACACCAGCUAGCUAUCGAUUUAACUGAAAAUAUUUUGAAUGGUGUAUGAAAAUGGACUACAUAAAUAUUUUGAAAAGUAUAAUAAAAAUACAUGGUUGCACCAGAUAUUUCUAAUCCGUGGAAGGAACUGUUUUUAUGAGAAGAAAUUUAAAACGAAAAUAUUUUGGAGCUGCGUGUGUGGUUAUUGAAGAAGUAAAUAAUACGAGAUGUAAAUAUUUACGAGACAGAUUUCUAAGAAGAGGCUGAGAAUGCAGAUCGAUAUGCCGUACAAUUUUUUAAAUUUUGAAAUCGAUUUGAUUUUUUUCCUUUCCAAUCCUUGAAAUUAUUCAUGAUCAACAAUUCAAAACGUAAAAAUCGAAUCUAUCCGAACCAAGAUCUAUAUCUAUAGUCAUGUUAAUUUAAGAGAAUUAAAAGAAAAAAAAAAUUAAUCAAAAAUAAAAAUCAGAAGAUCGCAUCGAUUUAGAUUAAAAAGAUUUAAGAAUUUAGAAGCUGUGAAAGAGAUUCAAAAUCCCAUCCUACUGAAAAAAAGGGAAAAAGGAAUUUUCAACCGUUUCUUUUCAGAAAAAAAAAAGUCAAAGAAAAAAAAAUCGCAGGAGAAGAGACCGAAUAAAUUGCCGCGAAAUCAAUAUUUCCGCGCGAAGAGGCGGCCAGCAGAUAAACGUAUUGACGAUUCGCGCUCAGUCGAUAAGCCGAUAUUUUUCUCCGAUUAACGAUAACAGCAUCGAUCUAUCCAUCCCCCCAAGUGGCCGGCGUAUACAUUUAUCACUGCUCGGGUCGAUCAAUAUUGACGAACGUCAGAUAGAGGCUCUAUCUCAUUCGAUUUCGAGUAUCCGCAGUCACUGUAGCAACAAAAAAUCUCCUUCAUCGAUCGGUUGAAAAAUCGACCAGUAAAAAAAAAAUAUACGUAUAUAGAUAUUAAAAAAAAAAAAAAAUGAAUAAAUAAAUAAAAUAAAAUAAAGAAAUCUUUUCAUCACAGCUUUUUAAAUUGGUUCCGCUCGUUUUACACGUAUACAAUACAAUCAACAGGGAAGGGUGGAGGAACGUCUCGAACCGAUAUUGGAUCCCGGAUCGAUGUUUGCAUGCGGUGACAGGAUUAUGUUUGACUCAGCGAAUCAGUGCCACGGCCAUUUGUCACUUCGAGAUUAAAUAGAGAGCCCAACUGUCUUGGAGGAAGCAGCGAAUGGGGCACGGUACAAGGGUGAUUAUUAGGCAUCCCUGUCUCUGGCUCACCCUCACGUGCCUACGUUCGCUCUUACUUCUUUCUUCCUUCUCUCUUUCUCUCUCCUUUCCUUCCUUCCUUUUUUUUUUCGUUUUUCCUUUCUCUUAACGCUGGUUAACAGCGUUACAACCCUCAUCGAGAGAUAAGACAUCUCGCAGAGAGUGAGAGAGAGAGAGAGAGAAAGAGAGAGGAUUCUGGUCCCUGGUCGUUGAAUUAGCAUGCGUCGGUCGCAAUGAUAUUUUUCACGGAGAGACACGUACGGUUUCCUCGACAAAUUGUCGCCAAUGGGCUCCAGAUGGAUAUUUGCAUUUGAGGGGCGCGGGAAGGAGGUUCCGGGAGUUUUUUUUCCCCCUCCCCCUCGCCGCUUGUACGAUUCUUCUUCUUGUUCGAUCGGAGUCACCUAUUGAAAGUUUAUCUUAUGUGAUGUAAGUUUAUUUUGAGGGACGUUGGAAUUUCUAACGUGUUCUCGAUUUUGUUCGAUUUUAUUAUUGGUAGUUGGAUGUGGAAAUAUACGCGUGACGUGUGCAUUCGUGUCGAUAAUCAAAAUUUUUGUAAGUUUCAAAUCAUUUUUCAUUUAUUAUACAAUUAUGUCACGUUAACGAUAUUCGUGGUAAUAAUAAAUUUAUUUAAAGUUUUAUUUCAUAUAAUUUAAAUGAAAAUGCAUUUGAUGAUGAUGGAUUUUUUAAAUAAUUUUUGUAGAUAAUUUUUUUUUUUUUUUGAAGAUCGAAAUUGAAGCAGUUUUCAAAAGCGAGAUAAGAGUAUUAUUUGCGGAGAGAUUGCGGAUGACCUAGACAUCUUGACAAUUUUUCGUUAGGCUUGGAUACGCUGAAGAAUUGAUAAACUCGAGUACUAACCCAAUUCAAACCACUUUUUCCUCUAUCGUAAUAUAUUGAUAUGUUUUCGUUAUCCAAAGUGGUUCUGAAUCAUCCGAUAGGUCACUUGUAUUUUUAUUAAACAAGCAAAGAGCGAGGAAUAUAAUUUAUCUAAUGAAAUUCAUUUUGAAAUUUCACGAUCACAAUAUUUGUAUCGUUAGAUUUAAUUUAUUUAAAAGGAAUCAUUAUAUGUAAAUUUUCUUCCUUACAUUAAAAACAAUUUUAUCACGAUGAAAUGAUAUAAAUUUUAUUUUCAAACUCUCAUUAAAUUUAAUGUACUUUUUUUUUUAAAUCAGUCUCACUGUUUCUUUAAAAAUUUAAUUAAAAUCACAAAUAAAUGUUUUUCAACCGAUGAAAUCCUUUCAAUCGAACCUUUAUUUGAAACCCCUUUUUUUCCGACAUUUUUUUCUCCACAUUUCCACACGUGACCCAUCCAUUCUAUUUUCAUCUCUCCUUUCUAUUUAUUUUCUUUCUUCUCUCUUCUCUCUCUCUCUCUCUUUUUUCUUUGUUUUUUUUUUUUUUUUUUAAUUUCAAUUCGAUGUGACAUUCGAAACGGUUCGGCAUUUCGAAAAGUUUCGAUGGCACACAGCAUCUGCCCGUUUUUCCAUGCGACGCGUACGCGUACGGCCCCAGCAAAAAUCACGCACGUGAAGGUGGGGUGCAUAAAUUAUAGCCGAACGCCAUCUUUCUCCCAUGGCGUGCCGAUUGGACGAGCGAAAAAAAUAUCCAUCCCUCGGCCCAAGUGCUCCUACACACGGGCCACUAUUCUCACCCCAAAUACGCGAAACACCCUGGAUCGCCAUUUUCCUUUGCGCGAUUUCCACCCCCGAUUUCCGGCCGCGCUCCAUUAACUCGACCAAGGAAAAAAAAAAUUGAAUUAAUAUCGAUUGCCCCGAGUUGAUGAAGAAAUUAACAUUUUUGAAAGAUUUAAAAAAUUUCUUAUCUCAUAGCGUUUUAAUUCAGCGAAUUAUUUUCGCUGAAUUAUCGUAUAAUACAAUGUACAAAUAAUCUUUAUUUCGGAUAAUUUUUGUAAAUAUUUUUAUAAGAAUUGUUAUUCUUUUUUUCUACUGUUCUGAUGUUUUUACAAAAAUUCUUCUUUUUUUUUUCAGUGUUGUAAUACGAUUAUCUUUCGAUGAUAAGUUUCCUUGUAUAUAUUUAAUUUAUAUCAUUCCUCGGUAAGAGAUGAUUUACGAUCGAUAUGAUUAGAAAAAGAAAUUUUGACGUAACGUAAGGGAAUAAUUAAGGGUUUAUCGUCAAAGUAUUAAAUUAUUCAUUUAUUUGUAUUACCUGAAUAUUUAGAUAUUUAUCACUGUUUAUACGCUCGCGUGCUCAAAUAGGAUUAAUAAUUAAUUUUCAAUAGCCUCUUUUUCUCCUAUUUACUCUGACCGAUCUUCGCAAAUCAUAGCUUAUUUAUUAUUCAUCGCAGAAUUGAUGGGUCAACGUUUAUCUUAAUUUCGUUAUAAUUGAUAUUCAUUUCUAUCAAUUUCUACUUAACUGAUAACUGUAAUAGCAAUGAAAUAAGAAAUGGGGCUAUUGAUUAUUCUUAAAUUUUUCACGAAACGUGAUAAGAGUACGCGGAAAAUUAUAAGGAGAAAAUUUUACUGACUGACAAUUAAUUCGACGAUCUUUUCUCUGAAAAUUGUCGUGGCAUGGAUAUAAAAAAAGAAACUAGUUCGAGACUAUCUCUCAAAUGAAUUUCAUCGUGAUAAAAGAAACAAAACGUAUUUCGUCGCAUUUGUACGAAACGAUCUACUUGUUAGCUCGGAAACAGGAUUAAAGUUUUAUGCACUUUAUCGUGCAUAAGUUUUUACGUCGUUGAACCAGCAUUAUUGAAAAACGGUUCUUCGAUCUACGUGACUGUUCGUUUCGAAGAAUUAAAAAAACAAAGAUAAACCGGUUAUUUGUAGAAAUUUUAGAUAAUUUUUUUUUUGGAUAAAAAUAAAAAACUAGCUAUAUUUUUUAUAAAAAUUAUAUAUUAUAAAAAUUCAAUGUACAUUUGUACAGAUAGAGUGAAUAGCAAAUACGAAUAUUUUUAAUAUCUUCUAGGUCAGAUAAAUUUUCGAUUUAUUCGUACUUUUAAUAGUGUUAUAUUAUAAAAAAAGCUUCCAAUAUUAUUUGAAACUUUGAUAAAUCAAUGAACGCUCCACGUUCCUUCCAUAUAUUUAUUCCGUAAAGCCAAAUUUUCAGUUCGCGCGAAUUUAUUUUCCAUAAGUGAGUUUCAUCAGUUGAUUUUUACAAAAUGCGAUAUUCGAUGCAAAAGUAAAUAAUAACAAUUAUCACUUUAUCGCGUACGAUUUUCGCAAAAUAUCCAUACACGAUUUUUUAUAUAUAAGAUUAACACACGUCGUUCGAUUUUACGUAAUAAAAUAUACAACCGACUCGAUAUAAAAAUUUUCCCAGUAUAUGCAACACAUAUGCAUCGAUGAAUCUUCGUCACAAAAAUCAUACGAGUUUAUUUAUGCAAGUGCCUAACCAUUCUCUUUUUUCGUUUAUCGAACUCGGAACUCGAGGCGUCGCUUCCCACCCCUUUCCGCCGCGUAAUGAAUUUCCUCUCCUGCGGCCAAAUCGCCACGUUCCAGGAUGCUUUCUGCGACCGUGUGCACCUGGCGCAAUUGCACAUUCGGCGAAAAUUGCGCUGCAUUGUGCUUCAUGACGCCGCUACGCAACGGCGUGUAGUAGUAACUUUGGUCAUUGAACUUCGUUAGACAUGUGGCCCGAGCCUCGCGUGCACAAGGUGUCCAGAAACUCAGGAUGCUUGCACAUAAGGCGCGCGAAAGGGGUAUGCAGUUGACUAUUACGUCGGCGAGAUUGAACGGACGUCGAUGGAGUGUGAAGGAGAACGUUGGAUGGAAUUUCUUUUUAUUUUUUAAUUUUUUAAAUUCGACGGAAGAUUUACCGAUGAUCGAAGGAUUCGCGGGGGAAACUCUUGUCGACUUUCCGUUCUUGAAGGUAUUUAUUUUUGGAAUUUGUUUGGAUUUUUUGGAAGAAUUUCAAAAACGAAAGAAUUAGUUAUUCGUUAUUCCCGAGUGCGUAGCAACGACUUAACAUAAUUUUAGGGGUGCCAGAGGUGGAUACGUGUAUAUCACGAUACUUAGUAGUAAGUAGAAUAAAUUACAUCCUUUAAACAUCUCAUUUCGUAAUAAUAUCUAUACCAGUGACCACCAUUGUCCACUGGCUAUUAUUAUUAUUAUCCUAUUCUCAUGUCGUUUUCAUUGUAUGACUUUUGGGGUGAAAUACGAAUAAAUGAAAGUUCAGAUAUUUUUGCACUACGAAACGUCUAUUAUUAAUCUAAAUCGUGAAAGUUAUCGUGGUAUCAUCAAGCCAUUAUUAUACAAAUAUUUUUUUUUUCAAUCAAUCAACGUUGUUUAACCGUGGCACAAAUAGAAUUAACAAUCUAUUUUAUUUUGGACUCAAUCUCAAUUCAAAACGAAAAGAGAAAGAGAGAGAGAGAGAGAGAGAAAGGAAAGGCCAACAGCGUGGAGGACAGGUGAAAAUGAAAAGGUCGGGAACGGGCGAAAACGGCGACCACCUAUGUUAAAACCCGUUCGCAUUCCUCGCGUACUUAAAAGCCUCCGAUCGAUCGUAAUAAGGGGCGAAAUUUAUGGGGGCGCGAUAAACUCGACGAUUUACGGCGCCAUCGCCGUUAAUAAAUAACAAAAUCGUCGAGCAAACGCGGCCGUCUGAAAAUACAAAAGGCCGGGCCAGCGCGAAGUGUAAUUUAUAAAUAUCGGCCGGCCAAUUUGUUCGCGUCCCCGAAGCGAUAAUUUCGCGUACCCGAUAACCCGCUCGCAUUGUGCGCCGAUUCAUAACUAUCGUCGCGGCGUAUACCGUCGCCGUUCGAGAUAUCGUUGGAUUCUCGUUCUUCCUUCCCCUCCUCUCUCUCGAUCCUUUUUUCCCUUACUUUUAUUUUUUUUUCUUCUAUUCUAUAGCUUGUUAUUUUUUUCCCCCGCCUUUUUUCCCUCCUCCUCCUCCUCUUUCUCCUUUUCCUCUUCCUUUUUCGUCUCUCUACAUGGCGACGAGGCGAAGGUCUCGCUAAACGGCCAUAAGUGGUGAUACGUUGUGUCGGAUCAUCGUGGUGAUGGUGAGGAUAUAUGGGUGGGUUGAGAAGAGUGUUGAAGCGAGGAGUGCGAGUGGAAAGAGUGUAGUUGAAUUGGAUCGAUGUGUUUUUUUUUUCUUUUUAAUUUUUAUAAUGACAUCGAGUCGAUUGUUUCUUUCUUUUUCUUGGAAAAUGAAAAGUGGACAGGGAGAGGAGAAUUUAUGGGAACAGGAUUUUCGAUGGUGAGGAAUAUUUUUUUUUAUUCGUUGGAAAAUUGAUAAGAUUGCUGAUAGGAUAUAUUUUGGAGGGAGGGGAUUGGAAGAAUUUCUAUUGGAGAAGGUGAAUAUCUUUUUAUUUGAUUAUUGAAUUGUUGAUGAAGAUAUCUUUUAAAAGAGAGAGAGGGGGACAGAGAGAGAGUUCGAUGAAAAGUUUUUAUUGGAAAGAUUUCUCUCUACAGAAUCUAUAAGAUCUAUAAGAAUUUGAUGCUUGAUUUUUUUCAUAUUUAUCAAAAAAGGAAAUAUUUUUCGUCGUCAAUGGAAUCUUUCUGUUAACGAAACAAUCUACAAGAAUAGAAUUUUUUAUUCGUCGAAAAAUUGGAAAAAAAUUAUCGGAAGAAAUAUUCUUUUAGAAUUACUUUCGAGUUAACUUAAUUAUUUUUCUUCAAAAAUUUUAAUUCAUUAUUAGACAUCGCAACUCGCAUUGAUUAAAAACUUUCUUUUUUAUUUUAACGAUAUUUCCAUUCUUGUUUUAGCAACGUGUCGUCGAAGCAACAAACGAGGUUGAUACAAAUCGCAAAAAUCGUUUCGUUUAUUCGUAUGAAACAAACGAGCGUGUAACCGUGGAGUAUCUCCAUGGACCCCAAACGAUUUUACAGCACCCUAUACCGCAAUUGACGUAAUUGCCAGCACAAGCAAAUCAAGUCGCGUCCGCCGUCGUCGCGUGCACGUAUUCGAAAUCGUUUCAACAGGUCGAUGAUCUUCCGGUUUCAAAAAAAUUCCACCGCCUCUUUAGAAAAUUGUCGAUCGAUUAAGAAAUACCACCAAUAUUUAUUACACAUCUCAUUUCUCGUCGUAAGUUGCAAGUUGAUGUUAAAAAAAAAAAAAAAAUAUUAAAAUUUCAUUAUUUCAUUCGAUAUGUAUAAACUGAUGUUUAAACUCAAUCUUUUUAUAUGUGUAUUUGUUUGUGUGUUUUUGUUAAGUCGUUGCAAAAUUGAAAAGAUUCGAUUAAUAAUAAAAUCCUUGACUUUUAAUUUUAUAAUUUUAACUCUUAAUGUAAAAUCUUAAUUUUUGAAUCUUCUUCAAUAAUCUUUCUUUUUCUUUCUUUUUUGAAGAAGAUCAUUUGUAUUUUUUCUCAAUCAACAUUAAAGGUUUCUUAUUUCAUAUUUCUUCAAGCGGAAAUUCUUUUUUAUUCCGUUUUUUAGAUAUGAACGAUACGAAACGAGCGACACUUGUGAGAAAGUACGUUUUCCUUCGCAGGUGAAGUCAAAGGUGCAACUCGUGUCGCGCUAAUGGAAAUCAUAAACAUUAAUUAGCGGAAUGGCUGUGGUUCCUGAGCGAGGAAUGGAUUUCUGAACUGUGUGCGACAUGUCUCUAUCGAUUAUGGAACGUUAGUACACAUGAAAUUAACUACAAUCUUCAAGAAAAAUAAAAUUUGAAACUUUAGUUCUCUUUUGCAUCAAGAAUUUCGUGAAUUUAAAAUUAAUUAAGAACAAAGAAAUGUCAAGCGUUAAUUUCGUUAUUCUUUGAAAUUUUACGAUUUCAUCGGCAAUUUAUUUAAAAGAUUUAGAUUAUAUAUUUUUUUAUAAUCAAUUUAGAUCUUCGUACAAACAGAUUAGAUUAACUGGAUUUUUAAAAAUCUUUCCAAUAAUUAUUUAUAUUUUUAUUACACCAGAAUAUUUUCCAGACGACUAAUAUUCCGUAACGAUUAACAUCGAAUUAUUUCAUUUCCACAGCAAAAUUAAACACCGAUUGAUUCAUUCGUUAUUCUAAAAUGAUCGAAAAUUUCUCAAAAAAUUGAAAUCAAUCAAAUUUCCACGUCUGAGCGCCGGCUCGAGCACGGGAUCGUCCUCCACGCUUCUCUCUGGUUAACUUAAAAACCAAUUUUAAUCCCGAUUAAACGCGGAAUAAAAGUAUUUUAGCCACAUGCAGGCGGAUGCAGCGUAGGGUCAUCUCCGAAUAAUCGAUAAAGCGGACGAAAGCGAGGCGGAAUUUAUAACCGACUAUCCCUCUUCGUCUCAAUAAACUUGUAUAAUCGCGCAAUAUGGUUAUAUAUCGAUUCGCCAUAAAACAGACGACUGCUCCAUCCCGGUGAAAUACCGCGAAAAUAACUCGCUACGUUUCGUUUAACUCUCCGCAGAUCGCCGCGAUAAAAUCGCCUAUAAAAUUCAACUACCUGUCGCGUUCAUUUGGAAAAAAAAAAAAAAAAAAAAGGAAGAAAGAAAAAAGGGAAAAAAUAUGGGAGGGGGAGGGGAGAAAGAGAGGGAAAGAGGGACGGAAAAACGGAACGGGGGGGGGGGAAAAAAAAAGCACGUAUAAAACUACGUGACGUGUGUCAUACACACAGGUCGAUAGGUGUCACGUAGAUCUGUACUGUGCACACCGUGUUCACCAAAUCGUUGUACAAUCAGGAAGAAAGUGAUUGUUGAUUUGUAAAAGAGGUGUCUUUUUUUUUUUUUUUUUGAGUUUUGUUUUUGACUGUGUUGUUUUUCUUUUUUUUUUUUUUUCAGAGCGAUGAGUUAUGAUUGGAUUGCGGAUGUUUGCGGAUGGUUUAUGAAAAAUUUAAAUGUACGGAAAUCUGCGAAAACACAAUUUGAAUACAAUCGUAUUUUUGCAUCGAAAUCGCGAGUCUUUUAUGAAUAAUUACGAAAGUAAUCGUUUAUCGACAUUAAAAACUUUACGUAAAAAGAAAUAGAUUAAUGGAUGGGAUAUUGAAAGUUUGUUUAGAGAUAAUAAAAAAAAAAAAGAGAGAUUUGGUGAAAUAUGUUGCUUUUGUUUUUUUAGGAUUUAAAAGACGAAUUCAAUUAUUGUUCCUUUUCUAUAAUUGCAGCAAUGGAUUAUAUUAAUUUGCAUUGAAAAGAUUUACGAAAAGUGUAAAUCAAUCGAAUCGAAUAUCUCGAAAAAUAUUUCAGGCAAAGUUCAACUUUAUUCCUUAAUACUAAAAGUAUGGCACAAUAUUUCACCUUCGAUCUUGCAAAAAUGAUCACUGGAAAGAUAAGCGAAACACAAAAAUACCGUUUCCUGUUCUCUUAUUUCCCCUCGGCAUGGAAUUUUCUAUAAAAAGAAAAGAAAAGAAAAGAAAAGAGAAAAAAUGCAUUUUGACAAUUUCGUCGCUUUUAACGUAAAUAGCGCGUAAUCCGAUAUAUCACACUCUAAAUUCUGUUUGCGCAAAGUGUCGUAAAGCUUACGCUACGAUAAAAAAACUGAUAGACGAAUAGAAAAAAAUUCCUCACCUGUUUCUAUUUGUCAUUCUUUUCUUUCUUUUUUUUUUUUUUUUUUGAACAUUUAUAAAUAAGGACAGGAUAAUUUAUAAAUAAGUAGAAAAAAAAAUAGAAGAAAAAGUCAAGCAUAACUCAUUAGACGACGAUUCAACGUUAAAUACGACACGAAGGGAUGUCGAGGAUGGAACGAGGUAAAUAUUAUUAUUUUUUUUCGGUUUCGUUGUUUUCGACUCGAGCCGCAUUUAAUCGACUCCGAUUUAAACUGUGCAAAUGUUUUGACGUCUGGUGUUCUUUUCACGGCUCGUCGUGGUUCGUCGACUCCACGAGUUUUGCGACAACGACGACACGGCUAAGCGUUUCGUCAGUCGACGCGUCGUAUUUCCCGGAGAGGAUGCUAUCUGUCGCGCACCGUUUGUCCAUUUCGUUAUUGUUUUUUCUCUCUUCUGCUUUCGCUUCGUUAUUUUUUCUUCUUUUCUUUUCGUUUUUUCUUUUUUCUUUUUUAUUUAUUUAUUUUAUUUUAUUGUUUUUUUUUUGCUGUUGCUCUCACGAUAAUGUUACGAUAAAUCGUAUCGUUGACGCCCUCGUAACUUCCCGUGAAACAAAGGCUCGAUAGAAAAAUGGCUAUCGUCGAAUGUAAAUUACGAAUUAGAAUUUGUGAGAUGAAUAAAGGAGAUAUUACAAUGGAGGAGAAAAAAAUAUAUUCGGGAACGUUGAAAAGAUUUUUAAGAUUCCUUUUUUUUGGAAUUUUGUUGAAUUGCGUCCUUUUUCCUUUACAGGGAAAUAAGUAAAACGGGCUUUAAUAGUUUCUCGAAUGGUUAAUAAAUAUUUUCUUUCAUCUCUUGCAUAAUAAAUAAGCUUCAUAUGAAUUUUAAAAAACGCAAGCAUGAUAAUAUAAGGCAAGAUUGCUAAGGAAAUAAAAAAAAAAAAUAUUUAAAAUAUAUAAUUCUGCUUGAAAAAAAAAAUGUCAUAAAUAUAUUUACGAUAACGAGGAGCCGCUUAAUUUUUCCAUAUAUUCAUCUUUAUCCAUGUUUAAAGAAAAUUACGAUAAAGUGUCUCGGUAUCGAUUUUUUAAACGGAUACUUGAAUAUUAAUCUUCCCCCUUCUCCUUUUUAUAACGUAAUAACCGGCAUCUUGCAAUGUAAUCUCAAUAUAAGCAAUACAAGUGUAUACAAGGAUCAAAUAUUUCUCCAAAGAAACAAUUUUAAUAAAUCAUCAAAGAAGGAAGCUUUCUAAAAAAAAAAAAAAAAAACAAAUUUUCAAAUCACAAUUUGAACGAACGAAAAUAAUAUAUUUCAAGAAAAAAAAAUAUCGUCAUUCGGUUAUAAAGGUUAAAAAUUAAUCGUUUAAUUAAAUCCAUUCGUUACGAUUUAAUCCAUCCUGGUUCAAAUAUAUAUUCGAAGAGGAAAAUAAAAAUUAAAAAAUAAAAAGAGAGAGAGGGGGGGGGGGAGAAGUAAAACGCAGCGGAACAGCAAUUAAAUCCAUAGAAUAUGGUCGAUCGUGAAUUAUUAAAAUUGAAAAACGAUGGGGGAGGGAAGAGAGGAGGGGGAAAUUUUUCAAAUGAAACUGGUUACAACGAGGGGGAGAGUGGAUGGAGAGGAGAGAGGGAGAGGAACACGAUCGCGGCAAACCUUCAGAACAAACGAAUAUUUAUUUCCGGUUCGCCGGCUGCCGUUUUAAUAAAUUCAAUUAAACAUCUUCCACGGUGAACGAACAAAUUUCUGUAACGGCAUUUUCGAGGCGCGUAAAUUGUUUCGACGGCUGUGUAUUUAUUCGCGUGGAGGCCGGAGGUAUCAUUAUGAAAAUUUAUACACCGUUAUGAAAUGAUUUCGUUAAAUUGCUUAAUUAGCGGGCCGUGGUUUUAAAACGAGUGCUUGGCCCGAGCCGAUAUUACGCGAGCAGAAAUUUUCGGUAAUUUCUCUCGCUUCGACGAAAUGUUUCUAAUUAACGAUUAUAAUUUAAACUUUGCCCCAAAAGGAAUUACAUCUUCGUUUUUUAACCGGCGACGAUAUUUUCCUGCAUUUAUAUCGAAACGUAUUUUCUAUUAAACGAAUUACACGUGGCAAGUAUUAAGACUUAUGUCUCUGAGAUGCUAUAAAGUGGCGCUAGUAUUCUCAGAUAUAUUAUAUUAGAUAUAUUUGCUUUAAUUAGUCGCAAAAAGUUACUAUUCCACGCACGUUAUCAUCUUUUUUAAUUUUUAUUUCGAAAUACUCGAUAUUAUUGUGUAUUUUCGAAUAUUUAUCGUUGCGAGAAACUGCAAAUUAUGUUAUUUUAAAUUUUGCUAUUAAAUAUUAGAUUCGGUUAAAAUUAGUUCGCCAAGUAUCGAUCGCCAAUCGAGGAAAUAGAAUUAUUCCAAAUAGAGUUAUUAUCUCAUUUUGAUCUCUGAUGAAGCGAGCUCCGAUGAUACUGAGAGCAGCGAAAGAUUAAAAUUUUCAUUCCAAAAUAACAUUAGAUUAACAUCCAAAAGCUCCAACAGUAAUAUAACAUCGUGGCGAUCACGAGAACGUCAAAUCUCGAUAUAAAUAGUUUUAGAAACGAGGGAAUACGAAUCGAAAAAGAAAAAUUUUAAAAUAUAUUUUUAUUUCUAUAGAAAUGAACAUUUUUCAAUAGAUAUAUUACUUUCGAUGGAGAGCCAGUGAUUUGAUCGAUGCCUUUGGCUACUCGUUUGUAAUCCGUCUUUAUGUGUGGUCGAUGAUCAUCAAACGUAGAUAUUAAAAGAGGAUGAUUCGUUCCUCGAUAUCUAUGGCAGAAGAUCUUUAUCUCUUGGCGGACCAUUCCUCUUAUAAUUGUAUUCUUUUUAUUUCUGAAAGGUCUUAAACGGAGACGAUUCGAACGUGAUGUCAAAGAUUAAUUCUCAAUAUUAUUUAUAUCGAUGCUUACAUCUUUCAUUUAAUGUCAGCUUUAUGUGAUUUUAUUUAUUUUAUUUAUUUAUGGUAUUUUUUUAUCUUCGCGAUUCAAGAAAUUUUAUUUUAAAAUAAAAUCGUAUUGAUUUAUAUCCCUUUUCUAAUAUAUACUUUCAGUAGAUUCGUUUCUGUAAUUUCAUUUCAUUUAAGAAAUAUAUUUUUUUUUUUUCUAAUAUAUAUUUUAUUUCCUAUUACUAAAUGCUAAGUAUAAAGUUACGUAAUCUUAUUAGAACACGCAUGAAUGCUAUUUUCCCGAGUUUCUGAUUGUUCAUUCUUAAAUUUCAUACCUUUCUAUUUCUGCAAUUUAUUAUAUUGUAUCCGCUUAUUUUUAUUUUUCUUUUACAAAAAUUGAUGAAUUAUUUUUUUCAUUUUUAUAGUAUUACAUUAAAAAGAUUUCAUUUCAGUAGUUUUUAAUGAACGUACACGCGCUUAUUACACGGUGUUUAAAAACAACACGAGUUUAAAACUUUAAGAAUUUAAUUUACCAGUGUUCGCGAAGGGGAAUAAAAAUAUUUAAUCGAUACAGGUUCUAAAAUCAAUACCUUCGGUUUAAAAUAUAAUAUUUUAUAUCUUUUCCACGUACAGAUAUUUAAGAAACCUUACCCGCUAGCAUCGAAUUUAAACAUCUUGAUUAAAUUACUAUCAAUAAUUAAUUUAAAAUAAAACUAUUAAAUAAUAAAGUACCGUUAAUAUACCAGUCCAGCAAAAUCUUUUCAGAAUUUUUCUUCAAGAUGCAGAAGCGUACCAUAAAUACAAAUUUCUUCAUUGUGCAUGUUUUUGCACCACGCCAAUACUAACGUAGUCAAAAGGAUAUUAUCAAAAAAAAGAAAGAAAGAAAGAAAAUGAUAUACAUGUAUGGUUAAAAACAGAUUAAAAGCAAAUGAAUGCAUAUUCGUUUAUCUGUAAUUUCCAGAGUAAAUUACAUCCUGUCAAAGAUAAGCAAGAUUGUUCGUACUCUGUUGAACAGUGGUGGGACAUAUGCAAGAUUUUCAAGGAGUAUCGUUCGAUUCGUUUAAUUUCGUUGUUUCUCGGCCGUGCCCGACAAUUCCCUCUCGUUAAAAUCUACGUCAUGAUAAAUGAACUGCCGAUGCCCGCCAACCAAGCCAGAAUGCGGCGACGUCCGCUCGAAUAAUCACGAGAUAAUUACUUUCCUGCACACGGUCCGCCCAAACCGCUCAAAAGCCGGAUCUCCCGCGGGAGUUCCAAGGAUUCAUGGAACGGACGGACGCGUUAAACCGCAGGAAGGAACGGUUUUUCGCCAGCCCGGAUAUCCAACUUGCUUAAAACUUCUCUAAGAACAAUUUUGCUCCUAAUUUUUUCGAAAUUAACUCCUCGUUGUUUCGUUUUUUUUUUUUUCCUUUACUUUGAGAUUCGUUCGAAAGAAAAUGAUUUUUCUCGGAUAUUUAUGGAAUUGAGUUUUUUUUUUUCGUAAUAGAGUUUAAAUCUAAAUGAGAUGUAAUAUAUUGUGGAAUUGAUUCGUCGUUGUUUCUUCGGGAUUCGAUUCGUUUCUUCUGUAACAGAAGAGAUUUUUUUUUUUGGAUAUGAUUUGGAUGAGUUUAAUGGAUUUCUUUUUUGAAAUGGAAAUUUGAGAUGUUAUGUGUACAGGAUUAUGUGUUUUCGUUACAUAUUUGAAAUAUGCAAGUAAUGAAUAUUUUCGUAAAUUAAAUUGGAAAUUUGUGAAUAGAAUGAAAUUUCUCUAGAGACACGAUAUUAUAAUUUUGACAGAUAUAUGGUUCUUUUAAUGAAAUCCGAGAUUUCUGUUUCUAAAAUAAGCGGUAAAGCAAUAUGAAACGAAACAACAGGAAAUUUAAUAAAAUGGAAUAAUGGGAUGAACUCGAGAUGAAGCUUGGAGAGUUCAAAACAAUUUGGACAGGAAGUGGCAAACGAGAUCAUAGCAUAGCUAAUUUAGUACAAACUCUGUCUGAAAAUAUUUUGUUCUUUGUCUUUCAAGAAUCGUUCCUUCUUUCUCUAAAAAAUAAGAAUUUAACUUCAAAUUAAAUUUUAAUUAUAAUUAUAAUCGAAAUUUCAUUUCGAAACUUACGAUUCGUUAAAUUUUCGUAAUAAUUAAAACAAUAUUUAAUUUAAAGUAGAUUCUUAUUACACUUAUUACACUUUGCAAAACGAUAACAAAUUUAAUAAUAGAAUAUUAUAUUCGUUAAUUCACAAUAGACACUUAUUCCAGGCAAAAUGACAAAAUUAUAUAUGUCCGUAUCAUUGUUACACCUACAUCCAAUCUUUCAUCAUUAACGCUUUCGAUUCUAAGUAAUAUCCACUUAAAACAGGAACACCGAAUUUCCAAGUAUUGCGAAUUAUUUCAAUGAAAAAUUCAAUAUAACAACAUAUUUACCCAAUCUCCUAUCCUCGAUAAAAAAUUACAAAAAUUAGAAAUUAAGAAUCGAAAGAUAAUCUCUGAAAAAAUCGAACUGGAAUAGAAAAUAUCGCAAUAUUUCUUCUGCAUUCUUCCCCCUCCAAAAAAACUCAAUAAAACUCUCGAUCGAUCCUGGAAGACGGUAAGUAAAUUUCCAGAGCGUGUCCAUCAAGGGAUCGAGAGGCUGUUUAUCUGCCUCCACCGCCUCGUCCUGUUCCUAACCAUUUCCUCUUUAUUCCCGUCCCCUUUCCUCCUCCACAGGAUUCCAACUACAGUGGUAACAAAAGGAUCGGCGCGCGUAUGUGCAGGCGCACCGUAACCGAGGACAGCAAUAUCGGGGGUGGGAUUUAUGGGGCAUGACGGAGAUUUACAACGCUUCUCGCGUCCAUGGCUCUUCAUGGAUCGGUGGAUCGGUAGGGAGAGGCCAUGUUCCGCUCGCUUUCGAUCGUUCUCGAUCUUCUUUCCGCCGGUCUCUGCACCUGCACCCACGAUCACCAGCGCGGAUCGUCAGAUGCGCCCGCGGCCGAGCGCGAAUCGGAUUCGGGUUGGACGGAACGCGUGGGAGGGCCCCGCGUGCCAGGACGUGCCGUUGAAUCGUAAUCGACUCCGGUUAAAUCGAUCCAGCGCCAGACCACCGCUCUUUAUCCCUUCGUUUCGGCCGUAUCUCGAAAGAGAGAAUCGUUCGAGGACGUUUUCCGUGAUUUUAAGUGUGAAGACCCCGUUUCUCCUUAAGUUUCGUAUAUAUAUAUAUUUGGUGAGGACGAUUCCCUGAUCUUAAGUGUGAGAACCCCGUUUCUCGUUAAAUUUCGUAUAUAUAUGGUGAGGACGAUUCCCUGAUCUUAAGUGUGAGGACCCCGUUUCUUGUUAAAUGUCGUAUAUACAUGGUGAGAUUCCCUGAUCUUAAGUAUGAGAACCCCGCUUCUCGUUAAGGUUCAUAUAUAACGAUGUUUCUUGAUUAUAAAUAAGAGGACGAUGUUUCUUUGUUAAUUUUCGUUUGUAAUAUCGCUUCUUUUUAUAGAUUUGAGAAAUAAAAAUAAUAUCUUUACAAAUAUUUGAUAUUCGGGAAUGAUUCCUUGAUUUUAAGUAUGAGGAUCCCUUAUUUUUUUUUAGAAGAAAUAAAAAUUGUUUAUAGAUUAAUAGAUAGUUUUUUUACAGAUUUAGAAUUAACGUUUUCGAAAGAAUCGUUUCAAGAAUGUUUCGUAGUUUUUCUUUAGUCAAUUGUCAGAAUAAUUAUAUAUUAAAAUUAUUCUGUUCUAUCCACGAUCUAGAAACUCGGUUUGACGAUCGUCCCAUUUUCAAAAAUACGACGAAAGGGGAGAAAAAAGCAAUUCGUGGUGCAGGGAUUAAUUAGAAAAUCGUGCAUUUUCUUUUGCGAUUAAUGGGAAUGGGAGGAGGUGCGUGCAGCUUCGUACGCGAGUGUAGUUAAUUGGCAGGACUUGCGAUGCUUUCGUGGCGAGCAUUAAUUUAGGAAAACUGUAAACACACGCGUGCACCGUUUUUGGAUAUUAUUCGAUAGAAAACCACGAUGGCUACCGCACCGGCUAUCGGUUGUUUUAUCUCUCUCUUUCUCUCCCUCUUUUUUUUUUUUUUACUUCUCCCUUCUCCAUCCUCUCUCUUUUCAUCGACGCCGAUCGAUAGCUAAUUACGCGUUUACACGGAACGAACAGAAUCACCCGCGGCCGAAAUUAAAAUGAUUUCAACCUCACGCCGCGUUUUUUGGCGAUAACAAACGGAAAUAAUGAAUAGUCUCGAGCCUCUGAAUACCGUUCAAACAAAAAUUAACGCGCAUGCGUCGCGUCGGGCUUAUAUGCAUAUUUGUUUCAUUAAUAUGAAUGCGAUUUCCUUCUCUUUCUUAUCGGGUUUUUCCAUUUUUCCUCGCUGUCCGAUCGGCUGUGUGUACACGUUUGUUUGACGAUCAAAAGAUUCUUUCAAGUCGGAUUUGUUGUUCGAACAAAGACACUUGGAAGCCUAUUUCGAAGAAGAGGAGGACUCGAAACGAAGAAGAAGAAUUCUAGAAGAACCAUCUAGGGCGAAAAAAACGGAAACUUCCCACCCAUCAGGUAACCGGCGUGUUUCCUUCGAUGGGAAAUCCGUGAAAAGUCACGAUUGAAUUAUCCCAUCGUGGCAGAGGCAGAGGCAGAGGCACCAAUGUGCCGGUACGUGGCUCGUCGUGGAGAGCACGAAGGAAAAACGGAGUUUUGGUGGCAGCAAACCUCCAGCCAGAUAUUUCAACGGGGCUGAACGUUACGAGGGGCUGGAAAUGGCUGGAGAUCUUCGUCGAGAAGAAUUUUAUUGCCACGACCCGAAUUCCAACGAUUUCGAUAUGGAUUGCUUUCGUUAUUUCUUAAAAUUGUCGCGGUAAUUUGUGGAAGUUUAUCAUAAGAUGAAGUGUAACGGGAUAAUUGGUGAGAUUGCAUAUUCAUUUUAGAGUUUGAUUUUUGUAAUAAUACAUUGUGGAAUGAAAUGAAGAGUAAAAAGAACGAAUUAAAAAAGAUUAA